CUUUUUUUUGUAGUGUAUACGGCUUACCUAAGAAGGUGCAUCAGCUAUAGUCCAUAGUCGGCGUGUCAAGCACAUAGCUCGCUCCCCAAAUAUCAUUUCACCGUUCAAUCAUCAGCGGUGAAAGAUGGGGAUGUGGACCCGCGUCCUGAGGCCACUUCGACGGCCCACUCUGGCGAGAGCGCUGCCGCAACUACCAUGCACGUGCUAACAAACUGUGUGAGCAUGGCCGCAAUCUGCGACCAGGCAUCCAAGGCAGCCCAAACGGCCGCUGUUGCUGCUCAGGUGGCAGUAGCAACAUCUGCGUCGAGGAUAGCAACUGGCGAGAGCAGCACAUCAGCUAUCUGUUCCACAGCGGCGGCCUUAGCCCUGAUGGGGGCCGCCCAUGACCAUGUCAAGGCCACCCACGCCCAACACAUGGCGGUCACCACACCAAUCGAAUGAAGCUUCUCCAACAAUGGUCAGGAACCCACAGCUGAAGUGUUGGCAAUCGCCAAGAGUGUUCGAGCAGUCGUCUAUUCCUUUGUGGAAAACCUUGCCACGACGGAGACCAUCCAAGCCUAGAUCAUGGCCGCCCACGCCCAGCUUGUGGCGGCCUUUUCCAAAGAGAUGGCAGACGUGGAUGGCGAGAUGCUUGCCGAGUAUGGAGUGAUGGAUGCCAUGGAGCCCCUUCCCCAGGAGAUCAUUGGGCACGAUCUGGACAUGGAGGAGGUGGAGGAGAUCGACGAGCCACAAUUGUACUCUUGCUUAAUUUAGAGCACCGGUCUUUAUUUUGUUAGAGUAUUGUUUAGGUCAUCUAGCUCUGUAUAAUUGCUGAACUUGCUUGAUUAAGAAGUUUGGGUGUGCUGUAGGUUCCUCGGUGUACCCAAAUUAUGCAAUGACCCGGAUGACCACUUUAACUAGGGAAAUUUGGACCAAAAUUUGCAUGUUCAAACUCAUCACACACGGGGUAAGCUAUAUGAAUUGUUUGUGAUAUUCACAUUGCAUACAAAGUGCUGAAUAAGGGACCGUGUCUGAUGACACUUUGCGCGCUAGUUUUUUCGCUGUACCAAGCCAAAAAUUUUGGAUUCCGUGGAAAUAUCUACCUCCCCGCCCCCUCCUCCUUACCAAAAUCCACAUUUCCCAUGUUUCCGCCUUCCUUUCCAAGUUCAAACCUUCACUCCUUGCUUGCAGCGCUGCCUCCUCGUCGGCGUCCCUCCUUCAUGUUGCUCGGCCUCAUCAAUCCAGGCAGGUAAUCCACACCCGACCUCCAUCCUCCUCCUCCUUCUACAUCCCACAUGCCCUGACUGCUGGCGCGACACCUUCCACCCAAAUCACCAACCCCUACCCCAAAUGAGCGCUGCCCUAAGCCAUGGUGCACGCAUUAUAGCCAGGAGCUCAAGGAGCAUUUGGCAGUAGAGAAGCAAAUCGCGACCGCACGUGUGGAUGAGGUCGCGAUGGCUACCAUACGUGUCGACCCCCAGAUCUUGGAGGAGCACCUGGCCGUCGAGGCCACCUUCAAUGCCUCACGUGCUGAUGCUGUGACAUGGUUGGCUGCUUUAAACAAUAGUUCAUGGCGUUCUCUCGAGGCCACCAUCGGUGCCUUCGACAAAGACCAUGAGGUGUUUUCUCAGCGUGCCCGUGCUUACCUCAACUCUAGAGCUAGCAGGUUGGUGCCCGGAGUGGCUCAGGCAACUCACCACUACAAGGAGGGUACCCACAAUGUGGAGGCCUUGCCCUCUUCCAUGUCCAAGGAGCCAAUCAUCAUCGAUAUCUCCGACGAUGAGGAUUAGCUUGUCUUAUUAGCUCACUAUAAGGACUUAUGUUCAGUUAGCUCGCUAUGCCGGUUAAGCAUGCUCAGUUUAACCAUUGCAUGUGAUGCUUGUGCCUUUCCUUAACAAAUUCUAGUGAAUUCUCAUAUGUACUUUUACCAUGCAAUAUGUUCCUCUAGUGUAUAUGUUCUCUAUGUCAUGCAAUAUGGUGCUCACUUAUUAACUAUUUGGUUAAUCUGUUGUCGUGUUCAGUUAACUAUUUAGUUCAAUUCUUCUGGGUGCAAUUUUUUGUAUUGUCUUCCAUGUGAUAAAUAAAUUGAAUUAGUUUGUACAAAAUACAUGAGAAAAAAUACAAUUGCUAUAUGUCCAAGUUAUCAAGCAUGCUUGGUUUGGUUAACUGUAUGAUCUUCCAGUAUAUAUACUGUGCAAUGUGGUGCUCAAUUAAUGUUUAGUUCAUUUAUUGUGGUGUUUAGUUAACUUUUUGCUUCAAUUAUGCAAUGCGAUGUUCACUUGUGGUUGGUGAAUUUUUUUAUUGUCUACCAUGUGAGAAAUAAAUCGAAUUUGGUUGUACUAAAUACAUGAGAAACAAAAACAAUUGAUACAUUUCCAAGUUGUUAAGCAUGCUUGGUUUGGUUAACUGUCUGAUCUACUAUUAGGAGUAUGUUAUAUUGUGCAAUGUGGUGCUCAGUUAAUGUUUGGAUCAUUUGUUGUGGUGUUUAGUUAACUGCUUGGUUCAAUUCUGCAAUGCGAUUGGGUACAAUUUUGUAUUGUUAUGCAUGUGAGGAAUAAAUGAAAUUUGGCUACACUUAAUACAUGAGAAACAUAUAUAAUUGCUAUAUUUCCUCGUUCUUAAUCAUGCUUGGUUUGGAUAAAUGGAUUUUCCAUGUAGCUCGAAUUAAUAUGAUUAAUCUGCAAUGUGUUUAUUUGUCAUCAACAUAUUUUACUGAUAGCAUGCCAACCCUCACUUAACCUGAUCACUAACUACCUUAUAUGUGUUGCAAGGAAACAAUGGGAAGCACUGAAGUUUACAAUCGAGGUUUGCACAUGCAUGGUCCUUUGUCUAAUAGCACAUUAUUGUGCAAUGGCAGGAACAAUUCUAAUAUUUUGGUUUUUAACAAUUUGGUCUUGCACAUGUAGGUCCUGCUGUCUGCAUAAUGAAGAAGACAUCAGUCCACUACAGGAUGGUACUAACUGUUGUACCUUGUCUUUUUUAUUCCUUUGCGCCAUUUUAAAUCUAGAGAAGAUAUUUAUGCAUAUCCUUCUUUUUAGGCCUUUCCAAAGCAGUUCACUGAUAAUUACCUCUCAAACCACCUGUAUGGUCAGGAGGCAAGGAGGUAUUCAUACAACACCCACAGUACAAUAUUGAAGUCUUCCUGAAGAGGACGAAGGAUGGACGAUCAAUCAUCCACAAGCACUAGCCUAAAGUUGCAAAGACCUUAAACAUCAAUGAAGGCUUAAUAUUCGCCUUCCACUUCAGCAGUUUUUCAGAUGAGAUCCAUCUGUCUAUGUGCCAUCUAUGAUGCUAAUUUCGAAAGAUUAUAGAUGUUGCAGGUGAAACUUGGUGCUGGUGCAGUUGUGUAAUGGGGUAGCUAGCUAUAUGCCUAUAUGGUGUAACUGAGUGCUGAAGCUAUAUGAUGUUGUACUCUCAUGUAUUUCAAUUAUGAAAUCUUGCUUCCUUAAUACGAAAAUGAAAUAUAUUGUGUGCUUAAUAUGAAAUGUCAUUUGAUUACUAAAUGAAUUAUUAAUAAUAGGCCAAUUAGCCUGCUAAUUGGGUUUUUCUAUUGCAAACGGUUAUUGAGAAAAUACCAUGUGCGAUGACCUCAGACAACGCAAACAGUUUCUACGAAGAAAACGUGUUGGAUCAAUGAACAAUCACACACGACUUCCUUUUGAAAACUAUUUGCGUUAGGCCACCUCGCACAAACGUUUUCCACAUAAAAAGUGUGUGUGAUGGACAACCUGUGCCACACAAUUUCUUCUAUGCACCGUGUGUGAUGCAUUCAAUAACACAAAUGAUAAAACUGUUAAUAUCGUCAGCAAUGGCAACGCUAUCACAAAUGAUUUAAUGGAGCAAAUUGUGUGUGGUGUACGUGCGAACGGAAAGGUUUUCCCUCUAUUGACUGUGUGGGAUGUACAUACGAACGAAAAUGUACUUCUUGGAUUGACUGUGUGGGAUGUACAUACAAACAGAAACGUAUUCCUUGGAUUGACUGUGUGGAAAGUACAUAUGAACGGAAACAUUUGUUUGGGACUGGCUGUGUGGGAUGUACUUAUGACCAGAACUAAUUGGGCUUGUAUAAUUAUAUUAGAUCACUCCCCCAUUGCACACGAGCUCAUUUUGCCCAGCGUGUGUGACCAGAGGGCCUAUCCCCGACGGUUUCUGGGUCGUGUGGUAAGGACACCCCUAUCUCUCACACCCACUAGGCGAUGGUUCAAAAUGCCAUCACGAAAAGGGGUUAAAAACGUCUGUAUAGUAGCUCGUUGUAUGAGUGAGGCCCAACACGAGUCUAUAAGAAUAAAGUUGCAUAAUAGACAUCACCCCUCCGAUGAUGUGUGAGUAUUUUACCACAGACCUACGGGUCUAUAGCUAGAUGGCUUCAUCUCUCUUUUUGAUCUUCAAUACAAUGUUCUCCUCAAUGUUCUUGGAGAUCUAUUUGAUAUAUUGACUUUUUGUGGUGUGUUUGUUGGGAUCCAAUGAAUUGUGAGUUUUUGCUCAGUUCUAUCCAUGAAUAUUAUUUGAGUCUUUGUUGAACUCUUUUAUGCAUGAUUGUUAGAGCCUCGUAUUUCUUCUCCGAACUUUUGGUUUGGUUUGGCGAACUAGAUUGAUUUUUCUUGCCACAGGAAGAGGUGCUUAGUGAUGGGUUCAAUCUUGCGAUGCUCAACCUCAGUGACAGAAAGAUACAUGACAUGCGUGUAUCGUUGCUAUUAAGGAUAAAAAGAUGGGGCAUAUUCCUACAUGAAUAGAUCUUGUCUACAUGAUGUCAUCGUUCUUAUUGCAUUACUCCGUUUUCCAUGAACAUAAUACACUAGAUGCAUGCUGGAUAGCGGUCGAUGUGUGGAGUAAUAGUAGUAGAUGCGGAAUCGUUUCGGUCUACUAAUCUUGGACAUGAUGCCUAUAUACAUGAUCAUUGCCUUGGAUAUCGUCAUGAUUAUUCACUUUUCUAUUAAUUGCCCAAUAGUAAUUUGUUUACCCACCAUACACUAUUUUCUCGAGAGAAGCCUCUUGUGAAAAUUACUGCCGCUGGGUCUAUUUUCCUAUCAUAUAAAGCCAAAAAUACCUUGUUCUGUUUUUCAUUUAUUUAUUUUAUUUUGUGUUUUAACUUCGCCUAUGAAGUCUCAACAUAGCCAGUCCCAAGCCCGGGUAAAGGAGGAGGGUUGUGAUAGGCUUGGUGAGCCAAUGUAAAAACUCAGCCACUCUUAUGGAGAUGAAACCCAAAAUAUUUUCGUUGGGGCGUAACCCUCUCAGCGACGCGCCACAUCGGAACCUGGGUGUGGUGUCAAAUGGGAAAGGGCCGGGCCGUCACCCCCUAGUAGCGUGCCGUAUCUUGAUCUGGAUACGGUGGCAAGUGAACGAGCAUCGGGUCGUCGCAUCCUUAGUAGCAUGCUACAUCAGCACCCGGAUGUAGUGGAAAAUGAGCAAGGGUCUUCGCAUUUGUCUCGACGAGUGCAAAGGGUAAGGAAGCUAGCCGAGCCUAGGAUGUUUCGCUUAGGUAGCUGGAACAUAGGGUCCCCAACAGGCAAGCUUCAGGAGCUAGUGGAUGCAGCGGCGAGGAGAGGUGUUGAUAUCCUUUGCAUCCAAGAAACCAAAUGGAGGGGACAGAAGGCGAAGGAGGUGGAGGGUAUCGGCUUCAAGCUAUGGUAUACGGGGAUGGCUACAAACAAAAAUGGUGUAGGUGUCUUGAUCAACAAGAGCCUCAAGUAUGGAGUGGUAGACGUCAAGAGACGUGGGGACCGGAUUAUCCUAGUCAAGCUGGUAGUUGGGGACUUAGUUCUCAAUGUUAUCAGUGCGUAUGCCCCGCAAGUAGGCCACAAUGAGAACAUGGAUAGGGACUUCUGGGAAGGCCUGGAAGACAUGGUUAGGAGUGUACCGAUUGACGAGAAGCUAUUCAUAGGAGGAGACCUCAAUGGCCACGUGGGUACAUCUAACACAGGUUUUGAAGGGGUGCAUGGGGGCUUUGGCUAUGGCAUCAGGAAUCAAGAAGGAGAGGAUGUCUUAAGUUUUGCUCUAGCCUACGACAUGAUUGUAGCUAACACCCUCUUUAGAAAGAGAGAAUCACAUCUGGUGACUUUUAGUAGUGGCCAACACUCUAGCCAGAUUGAUUUCAUCCUCUCGAGAAGAGAAGAUAGGUGUGCGUGCCUAGAUUGUAAGGUGAUACCCGUAGAGAGUGUUGUACCUCGGCAUAAGCUGGUGGUUUCUGACUUCCGCUUUUGGAUUCGUGUCUAGCGGGAUAAGCAUGCCAAAGUCGCUAGAACAAAGUGGUGUAAGCUCAAGGGGGAGGUAGCUCAGGCGUUCAAGGAGGGUCAUUAAGGAGGGCCCUUGGUAGGAAGGAGGGGAUGCAGACAAUGUGUGGGUGAAGAUGGCGACUUGCAUUCGUAAGGUGGCCUCGGAGGAGUUUGGAGUAUCCAGGGGAAGGAGAAGCAAAUAUAAGGAUAUCUAGUGGGUGAAGAUCGCGUCAUAUCUUGAUCUGGAUACUGUGGCAAGUGAACGAGCAUCGGGUCGUCGCAUCCUUAGUAGCAUGCUACAUCAGCACCCGGAUGUAGUGGAAAAUGAGCAAGGGUCUUUGCAUUUGUCUCAACGAGUGCGAAGGGUAAGGAAGCUAGCCGAGCCUAGGAUGAUUCACUUAGGUAGCUGGAACAUAGGGUCCCCAACAGGCAAGCUUUGGGAGCUAGUGGAUGCAGCGGUGAGGAGAGGUGUUGAUAUCCUUUGCAUCCAAGAAACCAAAUGGAGGGGACAGAAGGCGAAGGAGGUGGAGGGUACCGGCUUCAAGCUGUGGUAUAUGGGGAUGGCUACAAACAGAAAUGGUGUAGGUGUCUUGAUCAACAAGAGCCUCAAGUAUGGAGUGGUAGACGUCAAGAGACGUGGGGACCGGUUUAUCCUAGUCAAGCUGGUAGUUGGGGACUUAGUUCUCAAUGUUAUCAGUGCGUAUGCCCCGCAAGUAGGCCACAAUGAGAACAUGAAUAGGGACUUCUGGGAAGGCCUGGAAGACAUGGUUAGGAGUGUACCGAUUGACGAGAAGCUAUUCAUAGGAGGAGACCUCAAUGGCCACGUGGGUACAUCUAACACAGGUUUUGAAGGGGUGCAUGGGGGCUUUGGCUAUGGCAUCAGGAAUCAAGAAGGAGAGGAUGUCUUAACUUUUGCUCUAGCCUACGACAUGAUUGUAGCUAACACCCUCUUUAGAAAGAGAGAAUCACAUCUGGUGACUUUUAGUAGUGGCCAACACUCUAGCCAGAUUGAUUUCAUCCUCUCGAGAAGAGAAGAUAGGUGUGCGUGCCUAGAUUGUAAGGUGAUACCCGUAGAGAGUGUUGUACCUCAGCAUAAGCUGGUGGUUUCUGACUUCCGCUUUUGGAUUCGUGUCUAGCGGGAUAAGCAUGCCAAAGUCGCUAGAACAAAGUGGUGUAAGCUCAAGGGGGAGGUAGCUCAGGCGUUCAAGGAGGGUCAUUAAGGAGGGCCCUUGGUAGGAAGGAGGGGAUGCAGACAAUGUGUGGGUGAAGAUGGCGACUUGCAUUCGUAAGGUGGCCUCGGAGGAGUUUGUAGUGUCCAGGGGAAGGAGAAGCAAAUAUAAGGAUAUCUGGUGGGUGAAGAUCGCGUCGUAUCUUGAUCUGGAUACUGUGGCAAGUGAACGAGCAUCGGGUCGUCGCAUCCUUAGUAGCAUGCUACAUCAGCACCCGGAUGUAGUGGAAAAUGAGCAAGGGUCUUCGCAUUUGUCUCAACGAGUGCGAAGGGUAAGGAAGCUAGCCGAGCCUAGGAUGAUUCUCUUAGGUAGCUGGAACAUAGGGUCCCCAACAGGCAAGCUUUUUGAGCUAGUGGAUGCAGCGGUGAGGAGAGGUGUUGAUAUCCUUUGCAUCCAAGAAACCAAAUGGAGGGGACAGAAGGCGAAGGAGGUGGAGGGUACCGGCUUCAAGCUGUGGUAUACGGGGAUGGCUACAAACAGAAAUGGUGUAGGUGUCUUGAUCAACAAGAGCCUCAAGUAUGGAGUGGUAGACGUCAAGAGACGUGGGGACCGGAUUAUCCUAGUCAAGCUGGUAGUUGGGGACUUAGUUCUCAAUGUUAUCAGCGCGUAUGCCCCGCAAGUAGGCCACAAUGAGAACACGAAUAGGGACUUCUAGGAAGGCCUGGAAGACAUGGUUAGGAGUGUACCGAUUGACGAGAAGCUAUUCAUAGGAGGAGACCUCAAUGGCCACGUGGGUACAUCUAACACAGGUUUUGAAGGGGUGCAUGGGGGCUUUGGCUAUGGCAUCAGGAAUCAAGAAGGAGAGGAUGUCUUAAGUUUUGCUCUAGCCUACGACAUGAUUGUAGCUAACACCCUCUUUAGAAAGAGAGAAUCACAUCUGGUGACUUUUCGUAGUGGCCAACACUAUAGCCAGAUUGAUUUCAUCCUCUCGAGAAUAGAAGAUAGGCGUGCAUGCCUAGAUUGUAAGGUGAUACCUGGAGAGAGUGUUGUACCUCAGCAUAAGCUGGUGGUUUCUGACUUCCGCUUUUGGGUUCGUGUCUAGCGGGAUAAGCAUGCCAAAGUCGCUAGAACAAAGUGGUGUAAGCUCAAGGGGGAGGUAGCUCAGGCGUUCAAGGAGGGUCAUUAAGGAGGGCCCUUGGUAGGAAGGAGGGGAUGCAGACAAUGUGUGGGUGAAGAUGGCGACUUGCAUUCGUAAGGUGGACUCGGAGGAGUUUGGAGUGUCCAAGGGAAGGAGAAGCAAAUAUAAGGAUAUUUGGUGGUGGAAUGAUGAUGUCCAGGAGGCAAUUAAAGAGAAGAAAGAUUGCUUCAGACGCCUAUACAUGGAUAGGAGUGCAGACAACAUAGAGAAGUACAAGAUGGCAAAGAAGGCGCAAAGCAAGUUGUUGGUGAAUCAAGGGGUUGGGCAUAUGAGGACCUCUACCAAUGGCUAGGCAUGAAGGAAGGCGAAAUGGACGUCUAUAAGAUGGCCAAGAUCCGAGAGAGGAAGACGAGGGAUAUUGUCCAAGUCAAAUGCAUCAAAGACGAAGCAGACCCACUCCUGGUGAAGGACGAGGAGAUUAAGCAUAGAUGGCGGGAGUACUUCAAUAAGUUGUUUAAUGGGGAGAACGAGAGUUCUACCAUUAAACUGGACGACUCCGUUGAUGAGACCAGCAUGCAUUUUGUGCACGGAAUCCAAGAGUCUCAGGUCAAGGACGCUUUAUAAAGGAUGAAAGGAGGCAAGGAGAUGGGCCCUGAUUGUAUCCCCAUUGAGGCGUGGAAAGGCCUCGGGGACAUAGCGAUAGUAUGGCUAACGAAGCUUUUCGACCUCAUUUUUCGGGCAAACAAGAUGCCACAAGAAUGGAGACGGAGUAUAUUAGUACCAAUAUUCAAGAACAAGGGGGCGUUCAGAGUUGUACUAAUUAACGUGGAAUUAAGCUGACGAGUCGUACAAUGAAGCAAUGGGAGAGAGUCAUUGAGCACCACUUAAGAAGAAUGACAAGCGUGACCAAAAAUCAGUUUGGUUUCAUGCCUGGGAGGUCGACCAUGGAAGCCAUUCUCUUGGUACAACAACUUAUGGAGAGAUAUAGGGAGCAAAGAAGGACUUGCAUAUGGCGUUCAUUGACUUGGAGAAGUCUUAUGGCAAGAUACCGCAGAAUGUCAUUGGUGGGCCUUGGAGAAACACAAAGUCCCAGCAAAGUACAUUUCCCUCAACAAUGACAUGUACGAUAAUGUUGCGACAAGUGUUUGAACAAGUAAUGUCGACACUGAUGACUUCCCAAUUAAGAUAGGACUGCAUCAGGGGUCAGCUUUGAGCCCUUAUCUUUUUUCCUUGGUGAUGGAUGAGGUCACAAGGGAUAUUCAAAGAGAUAUCCCAUGGUGUAUGCUCUUUUCAAACGAUGUGGUGCUAGUUGACGACAGUCAGACGAGGGUAAAUAGGAAGUUAGAGUUAUGGAGACAAACCUGGAAUCGAAAGGGUUUAGGCUUAGUAGAACUAAAACUGAGUACAUGAUGUACGGUUUGAGUACUACUAGGUGUAAGGAGGAGGAGGUUAGCCUUGAUGGGCAGGUGGUGCCUCAAAAGGACACCUUUCGAUACUUGGGGUCAAUAUUGUAGAGGAUGGGGGUAUUGAUGAAGAUGUGAACCAUCGAAUCAAAGCCGUAUGAAUGAAGUGGCGCCAAGCUUCUGGCAUUCUCUGUGACAAGAGAGUGCCAUAAAAGCUAAAAGGCAAGUUCUAUAGGACGGCGGUUAAACACGCGAUGUUGUAUGGCACUAAGCGUUGGCCGACUAAAAGGCGACAUGUUCAACAGUUAGGUGUGGCGGAGAUGCGUACGUUGAGAUGGAUGUGUGGCCACACGAGGAAGGAUUGAGUCCGGAAUGAUAAUAUAGGAGAUAGAGUUGGGGUAGCACCAAUUGAAGAGAAGCUUGUCCACCAUCACUUGAGAUGGUUUGGGCUAUUCAGUGCAGGCCUCCAGAAGCUCCGGUGCAUAGUGGACGGCUUAAGCAUGCGGAGAAUGUCAAGAGAGGUCGGGUAGACUGAAUUUGACAUGGGAGGAGUAUGUUAAGAGAGACUUGAAGGAUUGGAGUAUCACCAAAGAACUAGCUAUGGACAGGGGUGCAGGGAAGCAUGCUAUCCAUGUGCCAGAGCCAUAAGUUGGUCGCAAGAUCUUAUGGUUUUCGCCUCUAGCCUACCCCAACUUGUUUGGGACUAAAGGAAUUGUUGUUGUUGUUGUUAUUGUUGUUGUUGUUGUUGUUGUUGUUGUUGUUGUUGNNNNNNNNNNNNNNNNNNNNNNNNNNNNNNNNNNNNNNNNNNNNNNNNNNNNNNNNNNNNNNNNNNNNNNNNNNNNNNNNNNNNNNNNNNNNNNNNNNNNNNNNNNNNNNNNNNNNNNNNNNNNNNNNNNNNNNNNNNNNNNNNNNNNNNNNNNNNNNNNNNNNNNNNNNNNNNNNNNNNNNNNNNNNNNNNNNNNNNNNNNNNNNNNNNNNNNNNNNNNNNNNNNNNNNNNNNNNNNNNNNNNNNNNNNNNNNNNNNNNNNNNNNNNNNNNNNNNNNNNNNNNNNNNNNNNNNNNNNNNNNNNNNNNNNNNNNNNNNNNNNNNNNNNNNNNNNNNNNNNNNNNNNNNNNNNNNNNNNNNNNNNNNNNNNNNNNNNNNNNNNNNNNNNNNNNNNNNNNNNNNNNNNNNNNNNNNNNNNNNNNNNNNNNNNNNNNNNNNUGUCGUUGGAAAUAUGCCCUAGAGGCAAUAAUAAAUGGUUAUUAUUAUAUUUCUGUGUUCAUGAUAAUUGUCUAUUAUUCAUGCUAUAAUUGUGUUAUCCGGAAAUCGUAAUACACCUGUGAAUACAUAGACCACAACAAGUCCCUAGUGAGCCUCUAGUUGACUAGCUCGUUGAUCAACAGAUAGUCAUGGUUUCCUGACUAUGGGCAUUGGAUGUCAUUGAUAACGGGAUCACAUCAUUAGGAGAAUGAUGUGAUGGACAAGACCCAAUUCUAAGCAUAGCUCAAAGAUCGUGUAGUUCGUUUAGCUAGAGCUUUUCCAAAUGUCAAGUAUCAUUUCCUUAGACCAUGAGAUUGUGCAACUCCCGGAUACCGUAGGAGUGCUUUGGGUGUACCAAACGUCACAAUGUAACUGGGUGGCUAUAAAGGUGCACUACAGGUAUCUCCGAAAGUGUCUGUUGGGUUGGCACGAAUCAAGAUUGGGAUUUGUCACUCCGUAUGACGGAGAGGUAUCUCUGGGCCCACUCGGUAAUGCAUCAUCAUAAUGAGCUCAAUGUGACCAAGUGUCUGGUCACGGGAUCAUGCAUUACGGUACGAGUAAAGUGACUUGCCGCUAACGAGACUAAACGAGGUAUUGGGAUAUCGACGAUCGAGUCUCGGGCAAGUAACGUACCGAUUGACAAAGGGAGUUGUAUACGGGGUUGUUUGAAUCCUCGACAUCAUGGUUCAUCCGAUGAGAUCAUCGAGGAGUAUGUGGGAGACAACAUGGGUAUCCAGAUCCCGCUGUUGGUUAUUGACCGGAGAGGCGUCUCGGUCAUGUCUGCAUAUCUCCCGAACCCGUAGGGUCUACACACUUAAGGUUCGGUGACGCUAGGGUUAUUAGGAAGACUUGUAUGUGAUUACCGAAUGUUGUUCGGAGUCCCGGAUAAGAUCCCGGACGUCAUGAGGAGUUCCGGAAUGGUCCGGAGGUGAAGAUUUAUAUAUGGGCAGUUGUCAUACGGUCACCGGAAAGUUUCGGGGUCAUAUCGGUAUUGUACCGGGGCCACCGGAGGGGUUCCGGGGGUCCACCGGGAGGGGCCACCUCUCUCGGAGGGCCUCAUGGGCCGUAGUGGGCAGGGAACCAGCCCCUAGAGGGCUGGGCGCAUUCCCCCCUUGGGCCCAUGCGCCUAGGGUUGGGGGGAAACCCUAGUGGGGGCGCCCACUUGCUUGGGGGGCAAGCCCCCUCCCCUUGGCCGCCCCCCCCCCUCUAGAUGAGCCGGCCCCCUUCCCCCUUCCCCUAUAAAUAGAGGGGCAAGGGGAGGGCUGCACACAACAUCCAAGGCGCAGCCCCUCCUCUCCCCAACACCUCUCCUCCUCCGCGUAAUCUUGGCGAAGCCCUGCCGAAGAACUGUCACUCCAUCACCACCACGCCGUCGUGCUGCUGUUGGAGCCUUCUUCCUCAAACUCUCCCUCCUCCUUGCUAGAUCAAGGCGCGGGAUACGUCAUCUGCUCCAUACGUGUGUUGAACGCGGAGGUGCUGUCCGUUCGGCACUUGGUCAUCGGUGAUUUGGAUCACGGCGAGUACGACUCCUUCAUCCCCGUUCUCUUGAACGCUUCCGCUCGCGAUCUACAAGGGUAUGUAGAUGCACUCCUUCCUCUCGUUGCUUGAUGAACUCAUAGAUGGAUCUUGGUGAAACCGUAGGAAAUUUUUUAUUUUCUGUAGCGUUCCCCAACAGUGGCAUCAUGAGCUAGGUCUAUGCGUAGUUCUCUUUGCACGAGUAGAACACAAUUUGUUGUGGGUGUAGAUGUUGUCAACUUUCUUGCCACUACUAGUCUUAUUUUGCUUCAUCGGUAUUGUGGGAUGAAGCGGCCCAGACCGACCUUACACGUACGCUUACGUGAGACAGGUUCCACCGACUGACAUGCACUAGUUGCAUAAGGUGGCUAGCGGGUGUCUGUCUCUCCCACUUUAGUUGGAGCGGAUUCAAUGAAAAGGGUCCUUAUGAAGGGUAAAUAGAAGUUGGCAAAUCACGUUGUGGCUUUAAUGUAGGUAAGAAAACGUUCUUGCUAGAUCACCUAUAGAAGCCACGUAAAAACUUGCAACAACAAUUAGAGGACGUCUAACUUGUUUUUGCAGCAAGUGUUUUGUGAUGUGAUAUGGCCAAAGUUGUGAUGAAUGAUGAAUGAUAUAUAUGUGAUGUAUGAGAUCAUGUUCUUGUAAUAGGAAUCACGACUUGCAUGUCGAUGAGUAUGACAACCGGCAGGAGCCAUAGGAGUUGUCUUUAUUUUUGUAUGACCUGCGUGUCAUUGAAGAACGCCAUGUAAACUACUUUACUUUAUUGCUAAACGCGUUAGCCAUAGAAGUAGAAGUAGUCGUUGGCGUGACAAGUUCAUGAAGACACGAUGAUGGAGACCAUGAUGAUGGAGAUCAUGGUGUCAUGCCGGUGACGAAGAUGAUCAUGGAGCCCCGAAGAUGGAGAUCAAAGGAGCUAUAUGAUAUUGGCCAUAUCAUGUCACUAUUAUGAUUGCAUGUGAUGUUUAUCAUGUUUUUCAUCUUGUUUACUUAGAACGACGGUAGUAAGUAAGAUGAUCCCUCACAAUAAUUUCAAGAAAAGUGUUCCCCUAACUGUGCACCGUUGCGAAGGUUCGUUGUUUCGAAGCACCACGUGAUGAUCGGGUGUGAUAGAUCCUAACGUUCGAAUACAACGGGUGUAAGCCAGAUUUACACACGCAAUACACUUAGGUUGACUUGACGAGCCUAGCAUGUACAGACAUGGCCUCGGAACACGGAAGACCGAAAGGUCGAGCAUGAGUCGUAUAGAAGAUACGAUCAAAAUGAAGAUGUUCACCGAUGUUAGCUAGUCCGUCUCACGUGAUGAUCGGACAUGGCCUAGUUGACUCGGAUCAUGUUUCACUUAGAUGACUAGAGGGAUGUCUGUCUAAGUGGGAGUUCAUUAAAUAAUUUAAUUAAGAUGAACUUAAUUAUCAUGAACUUAGUCUAAAAUCUUUACAAUAUGUCUUGUAGAUCAAAUGGCCAACGCUCAUGUCCACCUGAACUUCAACGCGUUCCUAGAGAAAACCAAGCUGAAAGACGAUGGCAGCAACUAUACGGACUGGGUCCGGAACCUAAGGAUCAUCCUCAUAGCUGCCAAGAAAGACUAUGUCCUAGAAGCACCGCUAGGUGAAGCACCAAUCCCAGAGAACCAAAACGUUAUGAACGCUUGGCAGUCUCGUGCUGAUGAUUACUCCCUCGUUCAGUGCGGCAUGCUUUACAGCCUAAAACCGGGGUUCCAAAAGCUUUUUGAGCAACACGGAGCAUAUGAGAUGUUCGAGGAGCUGAAAAUGGUUUCCAAGCUCAUGCCCGGUCGAGAGAUAUGAAGUCUCCGACAAGUUCUUUAGCUGUAAGAUGGAGGAAAACAGUUCUGUUAGUGAGCACAUACUCAAAAUGACUGGGUUGCACAACCGCUUGACUCAGCUGGGAGUUAAUCUCCCGGAUGACGCGGUCAUUGACAGAAUCCUCCAGUCUCUCCCACCAAGCUACAAGAGCUUUGUGAUGAACUUGAAUAUGCAGGGGAUGGAAAAGACCAUUCCUGAGGUAUAUUCAAUGCUGAAAUCAGCGAAGGUGGAAAUCAAAAAGGAACAUCAAGUGUUGAUGGUGAAUAAAACCACUAAGUUCAAGAAGGGCAAGGGUAAGAAGAACUUCAAGAAGGACGGCAAGGAAGUUGCCGCGCCUAGUAAGCAAGUUGCCAGGAAGAAGUCAAGCAAUGGAUCCAAGCCUGAGACUGAGUGCUUUUAUUGCAAGGGAAGUUGUCACUGGAAGCAGAACUGCCCCAAGUACUUAGCGGACAAGAAGGCCGGCAAAACCAAAGGUAUAUGUCAUAUACAUGUAAUUGAUGUGUACCUUACCAGUGCUCGUAGUAGCUCCUGGGUAUUUGAUAUCGGUGCGGUUGCUCACAUCUGUAACUCAAAGCAGGAGGUGCGGAAUAAGCGGAGACUGGCGAAGGACGAGGUGACGAUGCGCGUCGGGAAUGGUUCCAAGGUCGAUGUGAUCGCCGUCGGCACGCUACCUCUACAUUUACCUACGGGAUUAGUUUUGAACCUCAAUAAUUGUUAUUUAGUGCCAGCUUUGAGCAUGAACAUUGUAUCAGGAUCUCGUUUAAUUCGAGAUGGCUACUCAUUUAAAUCCGAGAAUAAUGGUUGUUCUAUUUAUAUGAGUGAUAUGUUUUAUGGUCAUGCCCCGCUGGUGAAUGGUUUAUUCUUAAUGAAUCUGAAGCGUAAUGUUACACAUAUUCAUAGUGUGAAUGCCAAAAGAUGUAAAGUUGAUAACGAUAGUCCCACAUACUUGUGGCACUGCCACCUUGGUCACAUUGGUGUCAAGCGCAUGAAGAAGCUCCAUGCUGAUGGACUUUUAGAGUCUCUAGAUUAUGAAUCGUUUGACACAUGCGAGCCAUGCCUCAUGGGCAAGAUGACCAAGACUCCGUUCUCCGGAACAAUGGAGCGAGCAACCAACUUAUUGGAAAUCAUACAUACUGAUGUGUGCGGUCCAAUGAGCAUUGAGGCUCGCGGAGGAUAUCGUUAUGUUCUCACUCUCACUGAUGACUUGAGUAGAUAUGGGUAUGUCUACUUGAUGAAACACAAGUCUGAGACCUUUGAAAAGUUCAAGGAAUUUCAUAAUGAGGUAGAGAAUCAACGUGACCGUAAGAUAAAGUUCCUACGAUCAGAUCAUGGAGGAGAAUAUUUAUGUCAUGAAUUUGGUACGCACUUAAGAAAAUGUGGAAUUGUUUCACAACUCACGCCGCCUGGAACACCUCAGCGAAAUGGUGUGUCCGAACGUUGUAAUCGCACUCUAUUGGAUAUGGUAUGAUCUAUGAUGGCACUUACAGAUUUACCGCUAUCAUUUUGGGGAUACGCUCUAGAGACAGCUACAUUCACUUUAAAUAGGGCGCCGUCUAAAUCCGUUGAGACGACACCGUAUGAAUUAUGGUUUGGGAAGAAACCUAAGCUGUCGUUUCUAAAAGUUUGGGGAUGCGAUGCUUAUGUCAAGAAACUUCAACCUGAGAAGCUCGAACCCAAGUCGGAAAAAUGCGUAUUCGUAGGAUACCCUAAGGAAACCAUAGGGUAUACUUUCUACUUAAGAUCCGAAGGCAAGAUCUUUGUUGCCAAGAACGGGUCCUUUAUGGAGAAAGAGUUUCUCUCGAAAGAAUUAAGUGGGAGGAAAGUAGAGCUUGAUGAAGUACUGCCUCUUGAAACGGUGAGUAGCGCAACUCAGGAAGAUGUUCCUGUGGUGCCUGCGCCGACAAGAGAGGAGGUUAAUGAUGAUGAUCAAGAUACUUCGGAUCAAACUCCUACUGAACUUCGAAGGUCCACAAGGACAUGUUCCGCACCAGAGUGGUACGACAACCCUGUCUUGGAAAUCAUGUUGUUAGACAACGGUGAACCUUAGAACUAUGAAGAAGCGAUGGCAGGCCCAGAUUCCAACAAAUGGCUUGAAGCCAUGCAAUCUGAGAUAGGAUCCAUGUAUGAAAACAAAGUGUGGACUUUGACAGACUUGCCCGACGAUCGGCGAGCAAUAGAAAACAAAUGGAUCUUUAAGAAGAAGACGGACGCGGAUGGUAAUGUUACCAUAUAUAAAGCUCGACUAGUCGCUAAGGGUUAUCGACAAGUUCAAGGGAUUGACUAUGACGAGACAUUCUCUCCCAUAGCAAAGCUGAAGUCCGUCCGAAUCAUGUUAGCAAUUGCCGCAUACUAUGAUUAUGAGAUUUGGCAGAUGGACAUCAAAAUGGCAUUCCUUAACGGUCACCUUAAGGAAGAACUGUAUAUGAUGCAGCCGGAAGGUUAUGUCGACCCUAAGAAUGCUAACAAGGUAUGAAAGCUCCAGCGCUCCAUCUAUGGGCUGGUGCAAGCAUCUCGGAGUUGGAACAUUCGCUUUAAUGAGAUGAUUAAAGCGUUUGGGUUUAUGCAGACUUAUGGAGAAGCCUGCGUUUACAAGAAAGUGAGUGGGAGCUCUGUAGCAUUUCUCAUAUUAUAUGUGGAUGACACACUUUUGAUGGGAAAUGAUAUAGAACUUUUGGACAACAUAAAGGCCUACUUGAAUAAGUGUUUUUCAAUGAAGGACCUUGGAGAAGCUGCUUACAUAUUAGGCAUCAAAAUCUAUACAGAUGGAUCGAGACGCCUCAUAGGUCUUUCACAAAGCACAUACCUUGAUAAGAUAUUGAAGAAGUUCAAUAUGGAUCAGUCCAAGAAGGGGUUCUUGCCUGUGUUGCAAGGUGUGAAAUUGAGCUCGGCUCAAUGCCUGACCACGGCAGAAGAUAAAGAAGAGAUGAGUGUCAUCCCCUAUGGCUCAGCCAUAGGUUCUAUCAUGUAUGCCAUGACCUGUACCAGACCUGAUAUAAACCUUGCCGUAAGUUUGGUAGGAAGGUACCAAAGUAAUCCCGGCAAGGAACACUGGACAAUGGUCAAGAACAUCCUUAAGUACCUGAAAAGGACUAAGGACAUGUUUCUCGUAUAUGGAGGUGACGAAGAGCUCGUCGUAAAGGGUUACGUCGAUGCUAGCUUUGACACAGAUCUGGAUGACUCUAAGUCACAAACCGGAUACGUGUAUAUUUUGAAUGGUGGGGCAGUAAGCUGGUGCAGUUGCAAGCAGAGCAUCGUGGCAGGAUCUACAUGUGAAGCAGAGUACAUGGCAGCCUCGGAGGCAGCACACGAAGCAAUCUGGGUGAAGGAGUUCAUCACCGACCUAGGAGUCAUACCCAAUGCGUCGGGGCCGAUUACACUCUUCUGUGACAGCACUGGAGCUAUUGCACUUGCCAAGGAGCCCAGGUUUCACAAGAAGACCAGGCACAUCAAGCGUUGCUUCAACUCCAUCCGUGAAAAUGUUCAAGAUGGAGACAUAGAUAUUUGUAAAGUACAUACAGACCUGAAUGUAGCAGAUCCGUUGACUAAACCACUCCCUAGGGCAAAACAUGAUCAACACCAGGAUGCAAUGGCUGUUCGAUACAUCACAAUGUAACUAGAUUAUUGACUCUAGUGCAAGUGGGAGACUGUUGGAAAUAUACCCUAGAGGCAAUAAUAAAUGGUUAUUAUUAUUAUAUUUCUGUGUUCAUGAUAAUUGUCUAUUAUUCAUGCUAUAACUGUGUUAUCCGGAAAUCGUAAUACACGUGUGAAUACAUAGACCACAACAAGUCCCUAGUGAGCCUCUAGUUGACUAGCUCGUUGAUCAACAGAUAGUCAUGGUUUCCUGACUAUGGGCAUUGGAUGUCAUUGAUAACGGGAUCACAUCAUUAGGAGAAUGAUGUGAUGGACAAGACCCAAUUCUAAGCAUAGCUCAAAGAUCGUGUAGUUCGUUUAGCUAGAGCUUUUCCAAAUGUCAAGUAUCAUUUCCUUAGACCAUGAGAUUGUGCAACUCCCGGAUACCGUAGGAGUGCUUUGGGUGUACCAAACGUCACAACGUAACAAGGUGGCUAUAAAGCUGCACUACGGGUAUCUCCGAAAGUGUCUGUUGGGUUGGCACAAAUCGAGACUAGGAUUUGUCACUCCGUAUGAUGGAGAGGUAUCUCUGGGCCCACUCGGUAAUGCAUCAUCAUAAUGAGCUCAAUGUGACAAAGUGUCUGGUCUCGGGAUCAUGCAUUACGGUACGAGUAAAGUGACUUGCCGGUAAUGAGACUAAACGAGGUAUUGGGAUACCGACGAUCGAGUCUCGGGCAAGUAACGUACCGAUUGACAAAGGGAAUUGUAUACGGGGUUGUUUGAAUCCUCGCCAUCGUGGUUCAUCCGAUGAGAUCAUCGAGGAGUAUGUGGGAGACAACAUGCGUAUCCAGAUCUCUCUGUUGGUUAUUGACCGGAGAGGCAUCUCGGUCAUGUCUGCAUGUCUCCCAAACCCGUAGGGUCUACACACUUAAGGUUCGGUGAUGCUAGGGUUAUUAGGAAGACUUGUAUGUGAUUACUGAAUGUUGUUCGGAGUCCCGGAUAAGAUCCCCGUCGUCACGAGGAGUUCCGGAAUGGUCCGGAGGUGAAGAUUUAUAUAUGGGAAGUUGUCAUACGGUCACCGGAAAGUUUCGGGGUCAUAUCGGUAUUGUACCGGGGCCACCGGAGGGGUUCCGGGGGUCCACCGGGAGGGGCCACCUCUCUCAGAGGGCCUCAUGGGCCGUAGUGGGCAGUGAACCAGCCCCUAGAGGGCUGGGCGCAUCCCCCCUUGGGCCCAUGCGCCUAGGGUUGGGAGGGAACCCUACUGGGGGCGCCCCCUUGCUUGGGGGGCAAGCCCCCUCCCCUUGGCCGCCCCCCCUAGAUCUCAUCUAGAGGGGAACGACCCCUUCCCCCUUCCCCUAUAAAUAGAGGGGCGAGGGGAGGGCUGCACACAACAUCCAAGGCGCAGCCCCUCCCCUCCCCAACACCUCUCCUCCUCCGCGUAAGCUUGGCGAAGCCCUGCCGGAGAACUGUCACUCCAUCACCACCACGCGGUCGUGCUACUGUUGGAGCCUUCUUCCUCAACCUCUCCCUCCUCCUUGAUGGAUCAAGGCGCGGGAGACGUCAUCCGCUCCGUACGUGUGUUAAACGCGGAGGUGCUGUCGGUUCGGCACUUGGUCAUCGGUGAUUUGGAUCACGGCGAGUACGACUCCUUCAUCCCCGCUCUCUUGAACGCUUCCGCUCGCGAUCUACAAGGGUAUGUAGAUGCACUCCUUCCUCUCGUUGCUAGAUGAACUCAUAGAUGGAUCUUAAUGAAACUGUAGGAAAUUUUUUAUUUUUUGUAACGUUCCCCAAUAGUUGUUGUUGUUGUUGUUGUUGUUGUUGUUGUUGUUGAUGAUGUUGCUGUUGCUGCUUUUGUUGUUGUUGUUAUUGCNNNNNNNNNNNNNNNNNNNNNNNNNNNNNNNNNNNNNNNNNNNNNNNNNNNNNNNNNNNNNNNNNNNNNNNNNNNNNNNNNNNNNNNNNNNNNNNNNNNNNNNNNNNNNNNNNNNNNNNNNNNNNNNNNNNNNNNNNNNNNNNNNNNNNNNNNNNNNNNNNNNNNNNNNNNNNNNNNNNNNNNNNNNNNNNNNNNNNNNNNNNNNNNNNNNNNNNNNNNNNNNNNNNNNNNNNNNNNNNNNNNNNNNNNNNNNNNNNNNNNNNNNNNNNNNNNNNNNNNNNNNNNNNNNNNNNNNNNNNNNNNNNNNNNNNNNNNNNNNNNNNNNNNNNNNNNNNNNNNNNNNNNNNNNNNNNNNNNNNNNNNNNNNNNNNNNNNNNNNNNNNNNNNNNNNNNNNNNNNNNNNNNNNNNNNNNNNNNNNNNNNNNNNNNNNNNNNNNNNNNNNNNNNNNNNNNNNNNNNNNNNNNNNNNNNNNNNNNNNNNNNNNNNNNNNNNNNNNNNNNNNNNNNNNNNNNNNNNNNNNNNNNNNNNNNNNNNNNNNNNNNNNNNNNNNNNNNNNNNNNNNNNNNNNNNNNNNNNNNNNNNNNNNNNNNNNNNNNNNNNNNNNNNNNNNNNNNNNNNNNNNNNNNNNNNNNNNNNNNNNNNNNNNNNNNNNNNNNNNNNNNNNNNNNNNNNNNNNNNNNNNNNNNNNNNNNNNNNNNNNNNNNNNNNNNNNNNNNNNNNNNNNNNNNNNNNNNNNNNNNNNNNNNNNNNNNNNNNNNNNNNNNNNNNNNNNNNNNNNNNNNNNNNNNNNNNNNNNNNNNNNNNNNNNNNNNNNNNNNNNNNNNNNNNNNNNNNNNNNNNNNNNNNNNNNNNNNNNNNNNNNNNNNNNNNNNNNNNNNNNNNNNNNNNNNNNNNNNNNNNNNNNNNNNNNNNNNNNNNNNNNNNNNNNNNNNNNNNNNNNNNNNNNNNNNNNNNNNNNNNNNNNNNNNNNNNNNNNNNNNNNNNNNNNNNNNNNNNNNNNNNNNNNNNNNNNNNNNNNNNNNNNNNNNNNNNNNNNNNNNNNNNNNNNNNNNNNNNNNNNNNNNNNNNNNNNNNNNNNNNNNNNNNNNNNNNNNNNNNNNNNNNNNNNNNNNNNNNNNNNNNNNNNNNNNNNNNNNNNNNNNNNNNNNNNNNNNNNNNNNNNNNNNNNNNNNNNNNNNNNNNNNNNNNNNNNNNNNNNNNNNNNNNNNNNNNNNNNNNNNNNNNNNNNNNNNNNNNNNNNNNNNNNNNNNNNNNNNNNNNNNNNNNNNNNNNNNNNNNNNNNNNNNNNNNNNNNNNNNNNNNNNNNNNNNNNNNNNNNNNNNNNNNNNNNNNNNNNNNNNNNNNNNNNNNNNNNNNNNNNNNNNNNNNNNNNNNNNNNNNNNNNNNNNNNNNNNNNNNNNNNNNNNNNNNNNNNNNNNNNNNNNNNNNNNNNNNNNNNNNNNNNNNNNNNNNNNNNNNNNNNNNNNNNNNNNNNNNNNNNNNNNNNNNNNNNNNNNNNNNNNNNNNNNNNNNNNNNNNNNNNNNNNNNNNNNNNNNNNNNNNNNNNNNNNNNNNNNNNNNNNNNNNNNNNNNNNNNNNNNNNNNNNNNNNNNNNNNNNNNNNNNNNNNNNNNNNNNNNNNNNNNNNNNNNNNNNNNNNNNNNNNNNNNNNNNNNNNNNNNNNNNNNNNNNNNNNNNNNNNNNNNNNNNNNNNNNNNNNNNNNNNNNNNNNNNNNNNNNNNNNNNNNNNNNNNNNNNNNNNNNNNNNNNNNNNNNNNNNNNNNNNNNNNNNNNNNNNNNNNNNNNNNNNNNNNNNNNNNNNNNNNNNNNNNNNNNNNNNNNNNNNNNNNNNNNNNNNNNNNNNNNNNNNNNNNNNNNNNNNNNNNNNNNNNNNNNNNNNNNNNNNNNNNNNNNNNNNNNNNNNNNNNNNNNNNNNNNNNNNNNNNNNGUUGUUGUUGUUGUUGUUGUUUACUUGGAGCUAUAUUUUUAUUCAUUACAUAUCAUGAUUUUUGCUUGGAGCAUCUUGUAUUAUAUGAGUCCUUGCUUGGUCGGAUACUCCGCAAGUGCGCGAUAUUAACCGUAGGGUUUAUUCACGCCGUACGAACUGCAAUGCAGUAAGCUCAAAGGAUUCUUGGAAUAGCGGGAAGUAGUUCAGGGUAUCUUGUACUAAGAAGAGUAAUUGGGAAUGGAGGUAUGGGCGGCAAGUGUAAGUAUCUAUCCAUAAGGAUUUAUCGGUGGUCGGGAAUAGCAAAAGCGGUGGGCACGAAGUCUCGAGAGAACAUCGGAGAGUAUCUUCGGAAUCUUCUGGUGCACCAAGUAAUCACCUGAAGUGAGGGGCCCUCUGGGAGGAAGUAGUUACGAGAACCUUGAGUUGGUGUUAGUAAAGUCAUUUAACCCGAAUAGAGGAGAGAUCAGAGUCCCAGAGUAAAGGUCGAGGAGUAAAAGGUCCUAAUACCACCAAAUGGCGACGUGGGCCCGUAAGACUCAUAGCCAUGUUAGUAAAAGUUUUGUAAUGACUAUACUCGACUUCGGCCAAGGAGAGUGAAACGGGGAUUCCUACAGGCAGUCGGCUCUGAUACCAACUUGUGACGCCCUCGAUUCAAUCAUACACUAAUCAUGCACGCAAAUGUGUACGAUCAAGAUCAGGGACUCACGGGAAGAUAUCAUAACACAACUCUAAAAGUAAAAAUAAGCCAUACAAGCAUCAUAUUACAAGCCAGGGGCCUCGAGGGCUCGAAUACAAGUGUUCGAACAUAAAGGAGUCAGCGGAAGCAACAAUAUCUAAGCACAGACAUAAGUUAAACAAGUUGCCAUAAGAUGGCUAGCACAAAUUGGGAUACAGAUCGAAAGAGGCGCAUGCCUCCUGCCUGGGAUCCUCCUAAACUACUCCUGGUCGUUGUCAGCGGCCUACACGUAGUAGUAGGAACCUCCAGUGUAGUAGGAGUCGCCGUUGACGGUGGCGUCUGGAUCCUGGGCUCCAACGUCUGGUUGCGGCAUCCGGGAAGAAGAGGAAAAAGGGGGGAAAGAGGGAGCAAAUCAACCGUGAGUACUCAUCCAAAGUCCAAAGUACUCGCAAGCAGGGAUCUACACUACAUAUGCAUGGGUAUAUGUUUAAAGAGGCAAUAUUAGUGGACUGAACUGCAGAAUGCCAGAAUAAGAGGGGGGAUAGCUAGUCCUAUCGAAGACUACGCUUCUGGCAGCCUCUGUCUUGCAGCAUGUAGAAGAGAGUAGAUUGAAGUCCUCCAAGUAGCAUCGCAUACCAUAAUCCUACCCGGCAAUCCUCCCCUCGUUGCUCUAUGGGAAAGCGAUCACCGGGUUGUCUCUGGAACUUGGCUGGGUGUGUUUUAUUAAGUAUCCGGUUCUAGUUGUCAUAAGGUCAAGGUACAACUCUGGGUCGUCCUUUUACCGAGGGACACGGCUAUUCGAAUAGAUAAACUUCCCUGCAGGGGUGCACCAAAUAACCCAACACGCUCGAUCCCCUUUGGCCGGACGCACUUUCCUGGGUCAUGCCCGGCCUCAAAAGAUCAACACAUCAUCGCCCUACCUAGGCAAUACAAAGAGGUCAGCACGCCGGUGUAAAUCCUAUGAGCGCGGGGGUCUGGGCCCAUUGCCCAUUGCACACCUGCACGUUGCGUACACGGCCGGUGAGCAGACCUAGCCUCCCAUAUACAAGGGCAGGCGUUCCAGUCCAACCCGGCGCGCGCCGCUCAGUCAGUGCCGUCAAGAAGGCUUCGGCUGAUACCACGAUGUCGAGUGCCCACAACUGUUCCCACGUAGUUGGUUAGUGCGUAUAGGCGAGUAGCCGAACUCAGAUCAAAUACCAAGAUCUCGUUCAGUGUGUUAUUUUGAAGUAACCAAGGACGCCGACCAGGGCCAGGCCCACCUCUCGCCUAGGUGGUCUCAACCUGCCAUGUCGCUCCGCCACAAAGAUCCACACAGAGGGCCAUCGGGAAAGUAUGUCCUUUCAGCCCCCAAUCCGUGAAUCAACCGCGGGUACUCAACGAGCCGACCCGACUUUAGUCACCAUCUGUAUAGCAUGUAUGUAUGUAUGUAUAGUAUAUACCCGUGAUCACCUCCCAAGUGAUCACGGCCCGAUAGUAUCACAAGGCAGACGGACAAGAAUGUAGGGCCACAGAUGAUAAACUAGCAUCCUAUACUAAGCAUUUAGGAUUACAGGUAAGGUAUCAACAGAUGUAGCAACAAUGACAGGCUAUGCAAUAGAAUAGGAUUAACCGAAACAGUAACAUGCUACACUACUCUAAUGCAAGCAGUAAAGGGUAAAAUAGGCGAUAUCUGGUGAUCAAGGGGGGGGGUUGCCUGGUUGCUCUGGCAAGAAGGAGGGGGCGUCAACUCCGUAGUCAUAGUGGGUAGCAGCGGUGUCGGUCUCAUAGUCUACCAGAGAGAAGAGGGGAAAGAAACAAUAAAUAUAAUGCAAACAUAAGCACGAUGAUGCAAGACAUGACAAUGAGCGAUGCUAGCUGUGCCCUAACGCGGUAGUAGGUGAUACCGGCGAAAGGGGGAAACAUCCGGGAAGUAUCCUCGGUGUUUCGCGUUUUCGGACAGGUGAACCGGAGGGGAAAAGUUGCGUGUUUGCUACACUAAGGAUGUGUGGCGGACAAACGGGCUGCGUAUUCGGAUUCGUCUCAUCGUUCUGAGCAACUUUCAUGUACAAAGCUUUUUCAUCCGAGUUACAGUUUAUUUUAUAUUAAUUUCCAAAGUUUUAAUCAUUUUAUGAAAUUAACUGAUUUAAUUUAAAACAAAAUAUGUUUAUUGCAUCAUCAUGACGUGAGCAUGGCAUCAACGGUCAAUGUUGAGUGUUGACCGGUCAAGCAGAUGUGUGGGUCCCGCCUGUCAUAGGCUCUUAACUAACCUAAAAAAUUAAUUAACUAAACUAAGUGAUUAGGCUAACUAGUUUUAAUUAAGUUAAUUAGUUCAUUAAUUAAUUUUACUAUUAUUAUUUUAAUUCUUUUACGUUUUUACUGGGGCUGGGCCCUAGCAGUCAGUGGCCAGAGGCCUAGCGGGUGUGCAGGCAACGGGUGUGGGCGCCGGACGGAGGUUGUAGCCCGCCCGGUUGCGGGGUGAGGCCAUGGCCAUCCGGCCGCGGGGUCGCCAGCAUGGGGCCCUGGCGGAAGCAGGCGGAGCACAGCGGCCGGGCGGAGCAGGAGGUGGAUGCGCGGUGUGGUCGGGGGCCGAGCGGAGGCGAGGCCAGCAGCGGCGGUGGGGAAAGGUAGCAGCGGGUAGUAGCGCGAGUGGCGACUGCUCGGGGUCAGGCAGAAAUGGCUGACGCAGGGAACAACGAGUGCGGUGGGUGCGGCGGCCGGCUCGAUGAACAUGAGGAGUGUAGCGGCCUUCGGCAAGCGGGAUAGCGGUCGAGCGUGGGGACAGGGGCAAGCGUUGGCGGUGCAGAGCAGCUCGCAGCACGCGCAGGCGGCAGCGCGUGCGCUGGUGCGACCGUGGCGGAGUGGAGCGGGAGGCGAGGAGUAGGGCGCAGUGGUAGCAGCAGCAGACGACGACACACGGGGUUGCGCGUGAGCGUGGGCGAUAGAAGGGCGUCGCGAGGCCGUGAAUGCGGCCUGGAGCGCGAGCUCCGGCACACGGGCGCGGUCCGGACGCGGGCGUGCGCGCGAAGGCACCGACAUGGGCGUGACGGGGUCAUGGUGAGCGCGGGGCGACGGAGAGAGGAGGUCGGGGGGGCCUCACCAGUGGCUGCGGGGAUCGGGGCGGCGAGGCUCGAAGAAGCCGUUCGGGGAGGAAGACGGGGAGUGAGGGAGUCCUGGACUAGGGGGUGUCCGGAUAGCCGAACUAUCACCGUCGGCCGGACUCCAAGACUAUGAAGAUACAAGAUUGAAGACUCCGUCCCGUGUCCGGAUGGGACUUUCCUUGGCGUGGAAGGCAAGCUUGGCGAUACAGAUAUGUAGAUCUCCUACCAUUGUAACCGACUCUGUGUAACCCUAGCCCUCUCCGGUGUCUAUAUAAACCGGAGGGAUUUAGUCCAUAGGACAAACAACAAUCAUACCAUAGGCUAGCUUCUAGGGUUUAGCCUCCUUGAUCUCGUGGUAGAUCUACUCUUGUACUACCCAUAUCAUCAAUAUUAAUCAAGCAGGAGUAGGGUUUUACCUCCACCGAGAGGGCCCGAACCUGGGUAAAAACAUCGUGUCCCUUGUCUCCUGUUACCAUCCGCCUAGACGCACAGUUCGGGACCCCCUACCCGAGAUCCGCCGGUUUUGACACCGACAUUGGUGCUUUCAUUGAGAGUUCCUCUGUGUCGUCGCCUAUAGGCCCGAUGGCUCCUUCUAUCAUCAACAACAACACGGUCCAGGGUGAGACUUUUCUCCCCGAACAUAUCUUCGUAUUCGGCGGCUUUGCACUACGGGCCAAUUCACUUGGCCAUCUAGAGCAGAUCGAAAGCUACGCCCCUGGCCAUCAGGUCAGAUUCGGAAGUUUGAACUAUACGGCUGACAUCCGCGGAGACUUGAUCUUCGACGGAUUCGAGCCACAGCCGAGCACGCCGCACUUUCACGAUGGGCAUGAUUUAGCUCUGCUGCCGGACAGUGCCCUGGUGGCCGCACAAGAGUCCGCUCCGACCCUUAGCUCGGAGCCGACUGCGCCGAUCGAGGACGGGUCGCUGGACACCGCCUCAGGGGCUGCCACCUCUACGGCGAUGGAACCGAACACCAACCCUGUCCUUUGCAAAGCCCAUGACUCCGAGGUGCCGGACUCCUCUCCGGACUCCGAACCUCCCGCGCCCCUGCCAAUCGAAUCCGAUUGGGCGCCGAUCAUGGAGUUCACUGCCGCGGACAUCUUUCAGCACUCGCCCUUUGGCGACAUCCUGAAUUCACUAAAAUCUCUCUCUUUAUGAGGAGAGCCCUGGCCGGACUAUGGUCAGGAAGGUUGGGAUGCGGACGACAAAGAAAUUCAACGCCCACCCACCACCCACUUUGUAGCCACUGUCAAUGAUUUAACCGACAUGCUCGACUUUGACUCCGAAGACAUCGACGGUAUGGACGACGAUGCAAGAGACGACCAAGACCCAGCGCCUACAGGGCACUGGAAGGCCACCUCGUCAUACGAUAUAUAUACAUGGUGGACAUCCCAAAGGAUGGGAAUGGCGAUGGAACAACGGAGGAUGAUCCCCUCCAAGAAACAGCCUAAGCGCCGGCGUCAGCGGCGCCGCUCUAAAUCCGGCCACAACAAGAAUGGAGAUUCCGGCACCGGAGACAAUAACACCCCAGACAGUGCCGAAGACAACACCCUCCAGCAGGAUUAAGUGCAGGAGGAUGGAGAGGACAGCCCUCAUGAGAGAUAGGCAGACAGAGAGGUAGAGGACGAUAAUUAUAUGCCUCCCUCCGAAGACGAGGCAAGCCUCGACGGCGACGAAUUUGUCGUGCCUGAGGAUCCCGUCGAACAAGAGUGUUUCAAAUACAGGCUUAUGGCCACGGCAAGCAGCCUCAAGAAAAAGCAGCAACAGCUUAGAGCUGACCAAGACUUGCUAGCCGACAGAUGGACUGACGUCCUUGCGGCCGAAGAGUAUGAACUCGAACGGCCCUCCAAAAGCUACCCAAAACGCAAGCUGCUACCCCAACUAGAGGAGGAAGCAGAUAAACCUACAUCACCAGUGCAUAAUACGGCCGACCGGCCACCCCGUGGCCGCGACAAAGAGGUCUUUAGGCCCUCCACUAAAGCCGUACCCCGGCGUCGCUCGAAAAGUACAAAGCCACAAGGGAAUGCGCCGGACUUGCGAGACAUAUUGGAGGACAAGGAAAGACAAACAAGAUCGAUCUACGGAUCUCGUGGGCGCCCCACGACACGUGACAACAACCAUCACGCCGGAUACAGCAAUGCCGGCCGGGCCGAACAUAGUAGACAAAGCUCAUUCGAGCUGCGUCGUGAUAUAGCCCAAUACAGAGGCGCCGCACACCCACUAUGCUUCAAAGACGAAGUAAUGGAUCAUCAAAUCCCUGAGGGUUUCAAACCCGUAAACAUUGAAUCAUACGAUGGCACAACAGAUCCUGCGGUUUGGAUCGAGGACUAUCUCCUUCACAUCCACAUGGCCCGCGGUGAUCAUCUACACGCCAUCAAAUACCUCCCACUCAAGCUUAAAGGACCAGCUCGGCAUUGGCUCAACAGCUUGCCAGCAGAAUCAAUUGGGUGUUGGGAAGACCUGGAAGCCGCAUUCCUUGUUAACUUCCAGGGAACAUAUGUGCGACCACCAGACGCCGAUGACCUAAGCCACAUAAUCCAGCAGCCAGAUGAAUCGGCCAGACAAUUCUGGACACGGUUCUUAACCAAGAAAAAUCAAAUCAUUGACUGUCCGGAUGCAGAGGCCCUUGCAGCCUUCAAACAUAACAUCCGCGACGAGUGGCUUGCCCGGCGCCUAGGACGGGAAAAGCCGAAAUCCAUGGCAGCCCUCACAUCACUCAUGACCCGCUUCUGCACGGGAGAGGAUAGCUGCCUAGCUCGCAGUAACAACCUGACCAAAAACUCUGGUAGUUCGGAUACCAAGGACAGCAAUGGCAGGUCGCGUCGCAAUAAGCACAAGCGUCGCAUUAACGGCGAUAAUACUGAAGAUACGGCAGUCAAUGCCGGAUUCAGAGGCUCUAAACCCGGUCAGCAGAAAAAGCCAUUCAAAAGAACUACUCCGGGCCCGUCCAAUUUGGACCGGAUACUCGAUCGCUUGUGCCAGAUACACGGCACCCCCGAAAAGCCAGCCAAUCACACCAACAGGGAUUGUUGGGUGUUCAAGUAGGCAUGCAAGUUAAUUGCCGAAAACAAUGACAAGGGGCUGCAUAGCGAUGACGAGGAAGAGACCUGGCCUCCGAACAAUAGAGGACAGAAGGGUUUCCCCCCACAAGUGCGGACGGUGAACAUGAUAUACGCAACCCACAUACCCAAGAGGGAGCAGAAGCAUGCACUCAGGGACGUAUAUGCGAUGGAGCCAGUCGCCCCAAAGUUCAAUCCGUGGUCCUCAUGCCCGGUCACUUUUGAUCGAAGGGACCACCCUACUAGCAUCCGCCAUGGCGGAUUCGCCGCAUUGGUUUUAGACCCAAUCAUUGAUGGAUUUCACCUCACUAGAGUCCUGAUGGACGGCGGCAGCAGCCUGAACCUGCUUUAUCAAGAUACAGUGCGCAAGAUGGACAUAGACCCCUCAAGGAUUAAACCCACAAAAACGACCUUUAAAGGCGUCAUACCAGGUGUAGAGGCCAACUGCACAGGCUCAGUUACACUGGAAGUGGUCUUCGGAUCCCCGGAUAACUUCUGAAGCGAGGAGUUAAUCUUCGACAUAGUCCCGUUCCGCAGCGGCUAUCACGCACUGCUCGGACGAACCGCAUUCGCAAAGUUCAAUGCGGUGCCCCACUACGCAUACCUAAAGCUCAAGAUGCCAGGCCCUCGAGGAGUCAUUACUGUCAACCGAAACACCGAACGCUCUCUCCGAACGGAGGAGCAUACAGCGGCUCUCGCGGCGGAAGUACAAAGUAGCCUCUUAAGGCAAUUCUCGAGUUCGGCUGUUAAGCGGCCGAACACCAUCAAGCGCGCCCGGAGUAACCUACAACAAGACCACCUGGCACGUUCCGAGCACGCGUAGCAAUACGGCCCCAACCCCAGCCCUCGCGAAAUCACGAAGCCAGUACCACGCGUACAUAACUACGCUCUGGCGAUACCAUGGGCAUAGGGGUAGGGGCACGACCAGGGCAUGCCCAGAGUGCGGCUCAACCACACCAGGGGCUCCCAAUUGUGUCAUUCUUUCCUUUCUUCUUAUUCACAGGACUCCGUUUCCCAGAAGCUCUGUCCGGCAGUAGACUUGCCGAACUCACGAUGCAACAGCCAGGGAAGCAGAAAAGCUACGUCGAGUAUCCAUGUGGUCUCCAUUACGAGCAUUAUACCUGUUUUACAUACCAUUCCGCAGCCUACCCAUGGAGGGGGACAUGUUAAAUAGUCCCAUCCCUUGCUUAUCGCACUAUUUGUAUCGUCCUGCUUUCACCGCAGUAUUUCUUGAAUAAACAAUGCAUCGCUUUUUGCCUCUAAUUUCAUUCCUUUUUUAUUUCAUGUUCACUUAUGACAUGUUGCACCCGUACGCUUUGGUACGCUAAAUACACAAGGGGCUUAAGUUCCCCAAAUUAUGGUGUGAUAAGACCGAACACUUUUACAAGUGCGGCACUCCGAACUUAUAGCAUUAUAUGCAUCGGCUCCGAAUCAUGUCUUGGGUCAAUAGUUGGGUUUGCCCGAGUCCCAUGUUUUGGUACCUUACGUUCCAUUAUAUCGGCUAAGGUAGCGCUGGGAGAACCACUGCUAUUGUGCCCCAGUUGAGCUGGGUUGAGCACCUCAGUGGAGAAAGCUAAAACUGACCGUCAUGAUAGAGCGAGAGCUGGUCGCUGCUCGAGAGGUUUUUUCGAGUCCCUAAAGACUUAUGCCGCUUAGAGCGAGGAGCCGGCUUCGUCCGGCCCCAGGCGUGGAUAGCACCCCGAAUUCGGUCUUCCGAACACUAGGGGCUUCGCCGAAAUUUAAAAUUAUAGAAUUCUAUGGCUAAGUGGGAGUGUUCAAGCAUUAUAAGUCCGGUUGCCUCGUUCGUUGUGUUGAGCGUCUCCCUCAAAGGACCCAAAAAUGGGAAAAGAGCGCUCAAGUUUAUCCCGAACACCCCAGCACUCGUGGCAUGGGGGCUGAAGCCAAUGACUUGCCAUCUCUCAGAUUUGAUAAACGGUCGCACAGAAGGUAAUAUUUUAAAUUAACAAGCGUUGCUUAGCGCAUAUGAACAAAGUUUUCAGCGCACAGGAUAACAAAUUGCGAGUCUACUCAAAAAUUACAUCUUUGGAGCAUUCACCCGCUAUAAGGCGGGCACCCUUCAGGACACCCUUAUAGUACAUUUCGGGCGUGCGAUACUCCUUGCCCGGCGGUGGCGCGUCCGUCACAAGCUUCUCGGCGUCCAUCCUGCCCAGUGCACUUUAGCACGGGCAAGGGCCCGACGGGCACCUUCAAUGCAGGCGGAGUGCUUGAUGACUUCAACCCAUGGACAGGUGUCCACCAGCCGCCACACCAGACCGAAGUAGCUCCCAGGCAUGGCUUCUUUGGGCCACAGCCGAACUAUGAGGCCCUUCAUAGCCUGUUCGGCCACAUUGUGGAGCUCGACUAGCUGCUUCAGCUGGUCGCUCAGGGGCACCUGAUGUCCCGUCUCAGCAUACUGAGACCAGAACACCUUCUCCGUCGAGCUCCCCUCCUCGGCCCGGUAGAAUGCGGCAGCAUCAGACACACUGCGGGGCAGAUCUGCGAAUGCUCCUGGAGAGCUCCGGAUUCGGGUAAGUAACAAGUAAUUCACUUUCACGUGCUUGCUUUGCAUGAAGAAUGCCUUACCCGCCGCUAUCGUCUUUAUCGCAUCAAUCUCCUGGAGGGCUUUUUGGGCUUCGGCCUUGGUGGCUUUGGCACUCUCAAGAGCCGAGGUGAGCUCGGACUCUCGAGUCUUUGAGUCACGCUCCAAACUCUCGUGUUUUUCCAGGAGAGCCUGGAGCUCUUGCCGCACCUCCACCACCCGUGCCUCCUGCUUCUCUCGCUCGGUGUGUUCCACGGCCGCAUUGCGUUCAGCCUCGGACACCGCUUCCUUCAGGGUUGCCACCUCGUUCGUGGCCCCUGCGAUACCCACGUUAUUCCUGUCAUUUUUUGCAACCAAAUCCUUUUCUAUAAGGUAUUACUUUAAUAAGGUAUUACUUACCUUCCUUGUCCUCGGGCUGCUUCUUGGCACGGCCGAGCUCGUUCUCGGACCGCUCGAGACUCUGCUUCAAUGCAUUGACCUCCGCAGUCAGUGCUGCAGAGGUUAGCAGCGCAGCCUGCAUUCCCAUAUUGACAUAUUUGUGUUAGACUCCUGCGUAUAUCUUUUUAGAUCCUCAGUUCGGCUUUUCUUUCCGAACACCAAACUGAGCAUCAGGGGCUACUGUCUAUGCGGUACUAUUUUUACAUAUCUUAAAUUACUUACCUCAAAGCCUGUUAGAAGGCUGGCGCAGGCUUCAGUCAGCUCGCUCUUGGCGGACUGAACUUUCUGAAUCACCGCACUCAUAACAGUGCAGUGCUCCUUGUCGAUGGAAGCGCCGUUGAGCGCCUCCAGCAAAUUAUCCGGCGCCUCCGGUUGGACGGAGGUCACCGGCAUUGCAGUCUCGCCCUUCUUACGAAGGGGUUGCCUGCCGGACUUCGGAACCACUAAAGGUUUCGGUGCGGAGUCCGGUCCAAAGUCCGGGAGGCUGCCCUGCGGCACCUCCGGGACCUCCUCCUCCUGGCCGGUCCCUUUUUGGGACCCCGCCUCGGCGUCGUCUGUGUCACGGGGGGAGGAGGCGGUCGGAAGUGAAGCUCUAUUCACAUCCGACGAACCGAGGGACCCGCUCGACGAAGCGGGGAGAUCAUCCUUGGGCGGGCUACAUGGUUGUGUUCGGCGUUAGAAGACACUAUGCGACGAAAAGAAAAUCAUAAGUUAUUCUAGGAUCCGGACACUUACGAUCUCGCCAGGGGCUUGGCCCUCGAAGGCCACUCCUCUUCACCGUCGCCGGUGUUGGUGGAACAGUCCGGAGGAAGGGUCCUUCCCAUCUUGGACCCUCCGGCCUCCCCAGUCGGGGAGGCCUUCCUUUUCUUCUCUCCCCCCACUGGGGGAGAGGCCUCUUUUUUCUCCUCCUCGUCUUCACGGGAGGAGUCCGCCUCGGAGUCAUCGGACGAUGAGUCCGAUAACACCUGGCGCCGGGAACUCCUCCGAGUUCCCGUGGCCUUCUUAUUGGCCUUCUUCUCCGGCACCACGUAAGGCGCCGGAGCCAGUAGUCCCAAUAAUCGGGCAUCCGCUGGGUCUUCGGGCAAGGGAGCCGGGCAGUUAACCUGCCCGGACGUCUUCUGCCAGGCCUGUCAAAGGUAAAGGGAGUUUAGAUCCCACAUAUACUCAAACUAUGGAAAGCAAGUGUCCCGUAAAGGGUAAAAUAGCUUACCUCGCCGGCUUGACGCUGCGAGCUGAAUCCGCGAUCUUCGGUAGCGGAUGAGGGAGCCUCGGCGCCCUUGAACAGCACCCUCCAGGCAUCUUCGUACAUAGUGUCGAAGAGCCUGCUCAAGGUUGGGUGUUGUGCCGGAUCAAACUCCCACAAAUUGAAAGCCCGCUGUUGGCACGGGAGGAUCCGACCGAUGAGCAUGACCUGGAUUACAUUGACAAGCUUGAGCUUCUUGUUCACCAGCGUUUGGACGCAGGAUUGAAGUCCGGUCAGCUCCUCCGAAUCACCCCAUGCCAGGCCCUUCUCUUUCCAGGAGGUGAGCCGUGUGGGGAUGCUAGAUCUGAAUUCGGGGACCGCUGCCCAUUCAGGGUCACGCGGCUCGGUGAUGUAGAACCACCCCGAUUGCCACCCUUUGAUGGUUUCCAUGAAGGCGCCCUCGAGCCAUGUGAUGUUGGGCAUCUUGCCCACCAUGGCGCUUCCGCACUCCGCUUGGCGGCCGUCCACUACCUUCGGCUUGACGUUAAAAGUCUUCAGCCAUAAGCCAAAGUGGGGCUGGACGCAGAGGAAGGCCUCGCACACGACGAUGAACGCCGAGAUGUUGAGAAUGAAAUUCGGGGCCAAAUCAUGGAAAUCCAGUCUGUAGUAGAACAUGAGCCCCCGGACAAAUGGAUGGAGUGGGAAGCCCACUCCACGGAGGAAAAGGGGAAGGAAUGAAAUGGGGAAGGAACACCACCCUCUCAUGGGGCCUAGGGGUGGGGACGAGCUGCCCCUCGUCGGGAAGCCGGUGCGCAAUAUCAUUGUGCAGGUAUCCGGCUUUCCUCAGCCUUUUGAUGUGCCCCUCCGUGACGGAGGAGGCAAUCCACUUGCCUCCCGCUCCGGACAUGGCUGGAGAAGGUUGAGGCGAGAUGUGCGGACUUGGGCGCUGGAGCUCGAGUGCGCGGAGAAGGAUAAGCAAAGGAGAAAGAAGGUGUAGGUAAAAAGGUGGAUCCUUAUCCCCUUAUAUAUGGGCGGACGAAAACUAUACGUCCCCACCAGCCUGGUAAAACUCGCUUAUCUCCCAAGUGUCGUAAUCAAUGGCGCGGUUGGGUUACCCACACCCGUAUUGAUGAGGAUCCCGGAAUAAGGGGACACAAUCUCUGCUUUGACAAGACGUGCCAAGGAAACUGCUUCGCUAAACGCGCUGAGGUGGAACAGUAAAACAAUUCGAAUAAAGGCUUGGCCGUGGUGUGACGUCACGCCACGAAAUGCGUCAGCAGAUUGAACUUGUGUAAAUAUUAUUCUCUCUACGUCGGUAUGUGGAAUUUAUUUUGCAGAGCCAGACACUAUCCUGGUGUUCAAAAUCUUCUAUGAAUUAUUCAGAGGAGGAACCCGCCUUGCAAUGCCGAAGACAAUAUGCGCGUCGGACUCGUCGUCAUUGAAGCCUGGUUCAGGGGCUACUGAGGGAGUCCUGGACUAGGGGGUGUCCGGAUAGCCGAACUAUCACCGUCAGCCGGACUCCAAGACUAUGAAGAUACAAGAUUGAAGACUUCGUCCCGUGUCCGGAUGGGACUUUCCUUGGCGUGGAAGGCAAGCUUGGCGAUACGGAUAUGUAGAUCUCCUACCAUUGUAACCGACUCUGUGUAACCCUAGCCCUCUCCGGUGUCUAUAUAAACCAGAGGGUUUUAGUCCAUAGGACGAAUCACAAUCAUACCAUAGGCUAGCUUCUAGGGUUUAGCCUCCUUGAUCUCGUGGUAGAUCUACUCUUGUACUACCCAUAUCAUCAAUAUUAAUCAAGCAGGAGUAGGGUUUUACCUCCACCGAGAGGGCCCGAACCUGGGUAAAAACAUCGUGUCCCUUGUCUCCUGUUACCAUCCGCCUAGACGCACAAUUCAGGACCCCCUACCUGAGACCCGCCGGUUUUGACACUGACAGGGAUGACGCUCCAUCCAGGAGAGGGGUGAGGAGGCGAGGAGGCAGGCCGUCGGGGAGGCUUGGUCCAGGCGGGGCGGCGGUGGUCGGGUCGGGGGCGACGGGAUCGAUCCCGAUCCAGAUCGGAUCGGGAGGGGGGUGGCGAUGUUGCGAUGGAAGUGGGGUGACGGGGGGGUUAGGGUUUGGCCAUGGGGUUAUGGGGGAGUGGGGGUGGGCCGACCGGUUGGUGGGCUGGCCGCCUGGUCCAGGUGGGUCGGCCAGCUGGGCCGUUUGGCCCAAUUGGCUAGGGGGCCUUUCCUCCUUAUUUAUAUUUUGUUUUUUGUUUUGUAAUUUUCUUUUUCUUUUUUUAUUUUAGAGCAUUUUAGCAUUUUCUAAACAUGUGUUUUCUCCACUAUAAUUACCUGUGCAAUAUUUGGCACAAUCCGAACAUUUUUGUUUUAAUGUUUGAAAACUUCUAUUGUUUGCUAGAUUUUGAAAUUUGAACUAGGUUUCGAACUGAUGCGAGUUUAUCCACAGUAACCGAGGUGAUGUGCCAUCAUUAGCGGGGAAUCACUGUAGCUUAAUUAUCCGGGCGUCACACAUGUUUACAUAGAGAUUACAGCGGGGAGAAGGGGUGUUACACCGCUGCAUAGAGAGGGAGAAAGUUGGUGUGGACGGUAGCAAGAUAGUUGAUGUAGAUCGUCGUCACGAUCCUUGCCCCAGCGGCGUUCCGGCGCCACCGAGAGAGAGGGGGAGAGAGCCCCACUCAUUCUUCUUCUUCCUUGGCCUCCCCCCUAGAUGGGAGGAGAGUUCUCGCUCUGGUCCAUGGUCUCCAUGGCGGCGGAGGGACCGGAGCCCCUCUAAGAUUGGAUCUCCCUCUCUGUUCUCUUCUAUUUCGUGUUCCCCAGAUCUGGCCCUUCACGGUUUCUGAAAUUCCCGUAGAUCCGUCACUCCGAUUGCCCUGAAAUUUUUACAUGAUUUUUUCCAUAAAUUAUCUUUCUUACACCAGAAGAAGGGCUCCAACGGAUGUUCGAGGAGGUCACAAGACACCGGGGCGCGUCUGGGGCCUGUGGCGCGCCCUGGUGGGUUGUGGGCUUUGUGGGCCCCCGUUUGCGUUGAUUCCAACUCCUAAAAAUCACAUAUAUUCCAAAAUAAUUCUUCGUAAAAUUUUAUCACGUUUGGACUUCAUUUGAUAUGGAUUUUCUGUGAUACAAAAAACAUGCAAAAAACAAGAAGUGGCACUGGGCACUGGAUCAAUAGGUUAGUCCAAUAAAUCAUAUAAAAACUUGCCAAAAGUAUGUGAAAGUUGUAUAAUAUUGGCAUGAAACAAUUAAAAAUUAUAGAUACGACGAAGACGUAUCAGCAUCCCCAAGCUUAAUUCCUGCUCGUCCUCGAGUAGGUAAAUGAUAAAAAAGAUAAUUUAUGAUGUGGAAUGCUACCUAGCAUAAACUUGAUCAUAUGUCUAAUCAUGGCAUGAAUAUUAAGACAUAAGUGAUUCAAAGCAAUACUCUAUAAUUUGACAUAAAGACAUCAGUACUCAGGCAUCCCAACAAACAAUCAUGUCUUUCAAAAUAUCAAUGCUAAAGAAAGCUAUCCCUACAAAAUCAUAUAGUCUUGUCAUGCUCUGUCUUCUUAACACAAAGAAUUUAUCAUGCACAACCCCGAUGAAAAGUCGAGCAAUUGGUUCAUACUUUUUAACACGCUUCAGCUUUUUCAACCCUCACGCUAUACAUGAGCGCAAGCCAUGGAUAUAGCACUACGGGUGGAAUAGAGUAUGAUGAUAGGGGUAAAUAUAGAGAAGACAAAAAGUAAGAAAGUCUCACACCGAUGCGGCUAACCAACGGGCUAUGGAGAUGCCCAUCAAUCGAUAUCAAUGCGAGGAGUAGGGAUUACCAUGCAACGAAUGCACUAAGAGCUAUAAGUGUAUGAAAGCACAAUACGAAAACUAAGUGGGUGUGCAUCUAAUCCUAUAAUGAAAAAUUUCCACUAGUAUAUGAAAGUGACAACAUAGGAGACUCUCCAUAUGAAAAAUAUGGUGCUACUUUGAAGCACAAGUGUGGUAAAAGAUACUGACAAUGCCCCUUCUCUCUUUGUUUAUUUUUUUCUUUUUUUCCUUUUUUUCUUUUUUUUUCUUUUUUCCUUUUUUUAUUUUUCUCUCUCAUUGUCUGGAGUCUCAUCCCGACUUGUGGGGGAAUCGUAGUCUCCAUCAUCCUUUCCUCACAGGUACAUGCUCUAAUAAUGAAUAAUGAUGACCAUCACACUUCUAUUUACUUAUAACUCAAAAGAAAUAAAAAUUACAACUCGAUACCUAUAACAAAGUAUGACUCUAUAUGAAUGCCUCUUGCAGUGUACCAGGAUGUGCAAUGAUCUAGCGUAACAUGUAUAAAAAAUGAUGCACGAUGGCUGAGCCACAACUACUAUGUCAGCCAUAUGAUCAUGCAAAGCAAUAUGACAAUGAAUGCUCAAGUCAUCAAAACGGAAGUGGUGGAAGUUGCAUGGCAAUAUAUCUCGGAAUGGCUAUGGAAAGGACAUAAUAGGUAGCUAUCGUGGCUGUUUUGAGGAAGAUAUAAUAAGGCUUAUGUGUGAUAGAGCGUAUCAUAUCAUGGGGUUUGGAUGCACCGGCGAAGUUUGCACCACGUCUCGAGGUGAGAAAGGGCAAUGCACGGUACCGUAGAGGCUAGCAAAUUGCGGAAAGGUAAGAGUGCGUAUAAUCCAUGGACUCACAUUAGUCAUAAAGGACUCAUAUACUUAUUAUAAGAGUUUAUUAUCCCUUGAAGCAAAGUACUACUACGCAUGCCCCUAGGGGGAUAGAUUGGUAGCAAAAGACCAUCGCUCGUCCCCGACUGCCACUCAUAAGGAAGACAAUCAAUAAUAAAUCAUGCUCCAACUUCAUAGCAUAAUGAGAGACUAUACGUGCAUGCUUCGGGAAUCACAAACCUUAACACCAAUAUUCUUAGUAACCACAACCUUUUACUAGUACCUCCCACAUAUUCCAUCUCUAUAUCGCAAAAAUAUUGCAAGGAAUCAAACAUAUCAUAUUCAGUGAUCCAUAAGUUUUAUGUAGGAUUUUAUGAUUAACCAUGCAAAUGACCAAUUCAUGUUGACUCUCUAAAUAGAUAUAAGUGAAGCAUGAGAGUUUAAUUCUUUCUACAAAAGAUCAUGCUCUAAUAAAUAUAAGUGAAGCAAAAGAGCAUUCUUCAAAUAACGGUUUCUAUGUGAAGAGAAACAUGCAAUCCAAACUUCAAAUGAUAUAACUGAAGCAUAUGAAGCAUUCUAUAAAGCCAUACUCAAAAGAUAUAAGUGAAAUGCAAUGAGCAUUAUAUAAAUCAACCAUGGACUAUCUCAUACCAGUAUGGUGCAUGAAAGAAAAGUGAAAACUAAGCACAAAAGACGCUCCAAGAUUUGCACAUAUCACAUGAACGAAACAAAAACGAAAACAUACCGAUACUUGAUGAAGAAAGAUGGGAUGCCUUUCGGGGCAUGCCCAAGCUUAGAUGCUUGAGUCUCCUAGAAUAUUUACUUAGUGUGCCUUGGGCAUCCCCAAUCUUGAUCUCUUUCCUCUCCUCCUUCUCCUCAUAUCAAGGCCUCCUAGAUCUUUGAUCACUUCAUCCACUCAAAACUCAACAGAAAUCUCUGUAAGAUCGGUUAGUAUAAUAAGCAAAUCACUACUCUAAGUACUGUUGCAAAGCAAUUCAUAUUUUGUUUUUGCAUUGUAGAUAUUGUAAUAUAACUUUUACAUGGCUUAUACCACCGAUAAAAAUCGAUAGUUUCAUCAAAACAAGCAAAACAAUGCAUCAAAAACAGAAUAUGUCUUAAACAGGACAGUCUGUAGAAAUAUGAACAUCUACCAUACUUAUAGUACUCCAAAAAUUAUGAAAAAUUAGGACAAAAUAAACAAUUUGUAUAGAAAGACUAUGAAAAAUGUUUCAGAAAUGUUUGACAUUCCAGUAAAAAAUGAAAAUUCACGUGCUACAACCAAAGUUUCUGCUUCUGCACCACACAUAGCAACAAGCAAUCUAAUCAUCCUAAAGGCAAAUCUUGGCACAUUAUUUUUAUAAUGCAAUGGAUUUGUACAAGGGGAUAACUAUUUUUGUGAGAAUCUUCAUGAAAAAUUCUACAUUGUUUCUAUGAGCAUGAACACAAGUGUUCAAGGUUAACCCUCAUUUCUCCAAUGCAUCACCUUUCAAUCGCUUCUCUUUUGUUGCAAAGUUUUAAGUUCCCCUCUAUUUUUGUUUUUGUUUUUAAACUUUAUAAAAGCACUCAACAGAAUAAAAUGACUCUCUAAAACUUCCGAUCUGUCUCCCAGGCAACGCUUUCUUUAAAGCCAUGAAGCUAGGCAUAAAGUGCUCAUGUAAUGGAUCCACCCGGAUCCCAAGGUGUAUCAAAGCCAAUUUUAAUUAACAAUGAUUUGGCAUUUAGUAGUGAGCACAAAGCAACAAAUAUCAAGCAAUGAUGAAGUCUAACUCUCUUCCUAUGCAUCGGCAUGUCAUACAAGAACAAUGCAUGCACAUCAAGUAAAGGCCAAUAAAUAACAUAAGCACUUUCUCACAAUUUUAUCAUGUUGGAAACAUAAAGAGGUGGAGUUAUAGUUCAUCUCUCAUAAUAAUUGCAAGUAGGAGCAGCGAGCACAUGCAUAUUACAUUCACCAAAAUUAUCAUGUGUAACGGCAAAAGGCAACCCAUCAAUAUAAUCCUUAAUAAGAACAAACUUCUCCAAUAUAGUGUAGUUUGGAGAAUUCAAAAAGAUAAUAUGACUAUCAUGUGUGGGUGCAAUAGCAACAAUUUCAUGUUUAACAUAAGGAAUAAUAGCAAAUUCAUCUCCAUAAGCAUAAUUGAUAUUGGCAUCAUGUCCACAAGCAUCAAGUUCAUCAAAAAGGGAUAUUUCAAAAGAAUCAACGGGGUUAUAGCAAUUAUCAUAGCAUUCAUCCUUCGAUAAGAACGAAGGGACAUUAAACAAUGUAUGAGUGGAAGAGUUACUCUGAUUAGAAGGUGGGCACGGGUGAUCAAUCCACUCUUCCUCCUUGUGUUCUUUGCUCUCCUCCUCAUAUUUUUAAUCCAAUGGGCUCAUAAUAUCAUCAAUUUCUUCUUCCAUAGACUCCUGCAAAAUAUUAUUCUCUUCUUAGACAGCGGAGACUCUCUCAAUAAAUGCAUCAAUAUAGCAAUUGUAUUUAUAAUUAUCAUAGCAAUAUUUAAGUACAUCAAAAUUUUCGGGUCUAUAAACAUCAUCAUCAAAAGCUUCAAACUUUUCAAACAAAGAUUCAAUUUCAUAAUCACCCUUAAAAGCAACAAAUUCUUCUAUUCAUUCCACGUCAUAGUAAUCAUAUAUACCAUUAGCAUAAGAAGCCAAGGUUUCAUUAUCAUUAAAUUUGCAUGAAAAGGGAAGGUGUGGAGCGUUCAUCCUAGAGCAACAAGUAUAAUCAUAUCUCAAGCAUAAAUCCCAAGCAUACCAAUCCAACAUAUAAAUUUGAUCCCAUAAAAGUUUCCCUUUUUGUGUCAAGCUAUAAUCCCUAAAGUAUUCACGUUGAUCCAACGUUAAUCCCAUUACUAAGUUGAAAGGGGUUUUCUCAGGAUUAUCAAAGUAGUGCAUAAUAUCUUUCACAUAACAAUCAUCGAGGGUUUUAGGAGGUUCCUCAUCUCCUUGAGUAGCAAGUACAACUAUUUUUUUGGUGUUUCGUGUUCCAUAUCCAUAACUAAAGAUAGAAAACAACUUAGAAUAGGAAAUAAAUACUACUUAGUUAAUAAGCAAACAAGCAGACACGAGAAUAUUCACACCACGCUAUUGCUCCCCGGCAACGGUGCCAGAAAAAGGUCUUGAUAACCCACAAGUAUAGGGGGUCAGUUGUAGCCUUCUUUGAUAAAUAUGAGUGUCAAACCCAACGAGGAGCUAAAGGCAGAACAAAUAUUCCCUCAAGUUCUAUCGACCACAGAUACAACUCUAUGCACACUUGACGGUUGCUUUACCUAAAACAAGUAUGAAACUAUUUUGCAAGAAUAAAACUAUGAGUACUUUGCGAGAAUAAAACUACGAAUAAAUUGCAAGGCAAUAAAAGUGGAUAGAUUUUGUCAACAAGAAAGUCAUUUGUCCCUAGGCAAUCAAAAACAAGUACCGGUAAUCAUUCUUGUAAUUCUAUAUGAGGGAGAGGCAUGAGCUAACAUACUUUCUCUACUUGGAUCAUAUGCACUUAUGAUUGGAACUCUAGCAAGCAUCCACAACUACCAAAGAUCAUUAAGGUCGUGAAACCCAACCAUAUCAUUAAGUAUGAAGUCAUCUUUAUCCCAUAUGCAACAACCCACCUACUCAGGUUUAAGCUUCUGUCACUCUCGCAACCCACCAUAAGCGAAUCAUGAACGUAUUGCAACACCCUACAGUGGGGGCCACUCAUGUUUGCGCGAGAUGGAGGGCACCGUAGGACAGCACUAUAAAUAAAAUAUACAAUCGUACCAACCAAGAUCACGAUUAACCCAUAGGACAAAACGAUCUACUCAAACAUCAUAGGGUAGCCAAAUAUCAUUGGGAAAUAAUAUAUGGAGUUGAGCACCAUGUUUAAGUAGAUAUUACAGCGGGGAGAAGGGGUGUUACACUGCUGCAUAGAGAGGGAGAAAGUUGGUGUUGACAGUAACAAGAUAGUUCAUGUAGAUCGCCGUCACGAUCCUUGCCCCGGUGGCGUUCCGGUGCCACCGAGAGAGAGGGGGAGAGAGGCCCCCUCCUUCUUCUUCUUCCUUGGCCUCCCCCUAGAUGGGAGGAGAGUUCUUCCUCUGGACCAUGGUCUCCAUGGCGGCGGAGGGGCGGGAGCCCCUCCGAGAUUGGAUCUCCCUCUCUGUUCUCUUCUGUUUCACGUUCCCCAGAUCUGGCCCUUCACGGUUUCUUAAAUUCCCGGAGAUCCGUAACUCCGAUUACGCUGAAAUUUUUACACGAUUUUUUCCCAUAAAUUAUCUUUCUUGCACCAAAAGAAGGGCUCCAACCAACGUUCGAGGAGGGCACAAGACACCAGGGUGCGCCUGGGGCCUGUGGCGCGCCCUGGUGGGUUGUGGGCUCUGUGGGCCCCCGUUUGCAUUAAUUCCACCUCCUAAAAAUCACAUGUAUUCCGAAAUAAUUCUCCAUAAUUUUUUAUCGCGUUUGGCUUCGUUUGAUAUGGAUUUUUUGCAAUACAAAAAACAUGCAAAAAACAGGAACUGGCACUGGGCACUGGAUCAAUAGGUUAGUCCAAUAAAUCAUAUAAAAAGUUACCAAAAGUAUUUGUAAGUUGUAUAAUAUUGGCAUGAAAUGAUCAAAAAUUAUAGAUAUAACGGAGACGUAUAAGUUGCUUCUCAAUCUAUUUGCUAGCCUUUCCUUGUACUAAGCGGGAUACUGUUUGUGCAUCCAAAAUCUUUAAAACCAGUUUUGCCAUAUGAGUCCACCAUACCUACCUAUAUGCGGUAUUUCCGUGUCGUUCCAAGUAAAUUUGUAUGUGCCAACUCUAAUUUUCAAAAUGAAUUUCCUUUUUGUGUACCAGUACCGCUCAUGAAGCAGACGGGUGACCAAUAUUUUCCAUGCUAGAUAUGUUAUUCUCAUGAUAAGUGUUUAUUCACUUGUCAUUGCACAAGAGUGUGACAGGUAAUAGGGAUGCCCAGUCUCGAAAUGAAAAAAAAAUAUGUUUCCAAUAAUAAAUUCCUUGGAAAGUGUUUUUUGUUGGGAACUGUAGGGCAAAAACCCCACAUCAUAUCAAAAGCUUUAUUAAAAGAUGGAACAAGUACAAAGGAAGGAUUACAAGGGGUAAUCGAACUAACCUAAAGAAGUAAGAAACAAAAGGUUACAAAAGGGGGCCUCAAGGGGGCAGAAAAGAAACCCAUCUCAGGAGCUCAUCCUUAUGGGCAACUUUCACUCUGUAUUGCAUAAGACUGAUAUCAUGAAUGAAAGCACAUCUCCACUUAUUAAACAUAGCUCUCUCACUCCUGAAGACUUUAGCAUUUCUGAUGAUCCAGAUAUUCCAACAAGCAGUAAAAACCACUUCAGUAAAGAAGGGCUUACCAAAACCUCUUCUAGCAUGGAUAACCAAAUCAUCCAUGGAAUCACAAUAAGACCAAUCAAUUUUCAAAUAAUUCCAUACUCUGACACUGAAAUUGCGGUUAAAAAACAAACGGUCUCCGGUUUCCCUAGCCUGCAAAGGGCAAAUAAAACAAUUCACGCCAUCAUCCAGAUGCCAUUGCCUCCUCUCCAGCAUAUCCUUUGUGUUCAAUCUGUCCAUAAUGAGCAUCCAAGCUAACACCUUGAUUUUCAUGGUACAAGAGGACUUCCAAAUCCAAGAGGUCAAGGGGUUAAAGGAUUCUCAUGCAAAAGUAUGUGAGUAAAACAUCUUAGGCUUGUACCCCUUGGAAGAGCCUUGCCAGAACCAAACAUCCUUGGACCCAGGGAUUCUAUUGUGGCCAUCCAUCAAAGACUGCAGAAGGACCAGGUCAUCAACAUCUUGGGCAGACAAUGGAAGAUGGAAGUGUUGGAACAUGUCUUGGGAGUAAAAAAAAUUCUUUAACAGUGAUCCAAGGGUCCUUGGUAUAAGAAAAAAGCCUAGGAAAUCUGGUUUGAAGAGUAGAAGCCUCUUGACCAAGCUGCCAAUUAUCAGACCACAUAAGAGCAGUGUCACCUUCAUUUAUCUGAACCCAAGAGCAAUCUCUAAAGCUUUGCAUAACCUUGCAUAUAUCUUUCCACAAAAAUGAACCACAAUCUAAGGUUCCCUGGGGCACCUAUCAUGACAAUAAGAAUCCCAGAUUAAGGACACCCAGGGAAGAUCUUUCUUGGUAAGAAAGUUGUUUGCAUGCUUGAGAAAAAGUGCCACAUUCUACACACCAAGGUUAAGAAUUCCAAGACCUCCCCUGUUUUUGGUCUACAAAUAAGUUCCCAGCAGCAAGGGAAGGGGAAGGCUCAUCUCUAUGUUUCCUCCAGAGGCAUUGUCUCUGAAUUCUUUCCAAUUGCUUCAAAAUUCCAGCAGGUACAGCCAGGCUGCAAAGGAAAAAGAUGGGCAUGGAAGACAAGGCAGAGUUCAAAAACUGUAAUCUUUCUCCUUGGUUUAAGAAGGAGGAGCUAGCAGUCAUUCUCCUCUCCAUGCAGUCCACCAAUGGCAUAAAAUCAACCAUUUUUGGCCUUGUAGUUCCCACAGGCAGCCCUAGAUAAGUAAAUGGCAUUUCCCCAAUUUGACAUCUAAAAGCAGUAGCUAAGUCAAUCAUCUGAGCAGAGUCCACAUUGAUUGGUAUAAUAAAGGAUUUGUCAUAGUUCACAUCAAGACCAGUGGACAUAGAGAAAACCUUCAACAUGUCCUUUAGAGCAAGAAGUUGGUCUUUGUUAGCAGAUAGAAUGAUCAUUGUGUCAUCUGCAUACUGAAUCACAGGGUAAUCCUGGUCAUGACAAGGAAUAGGUAGAUGAAGGAUGCCUCUUCUAAACAUGUCGUUAAUGACAAUCUGUAAAAGGUCAGCAGCUAGAACAAAAAGAAGAGGGGAGACAGGAUCCCCCUGUCUAACUCCCUUUUUGCAGAUGAAUUUCCUUCCGGGAACACCAUUAAGCAAAACAGAGGAGGUGUCAGUAGACAAGAGCUACUUCAUCCAAAGAAUCCACUUCUCAUUGAAACCUUUAUAUCUCAAAAUUUGAAUUAUAGCCUCAUGCUCCAAGGAGUCAAAAGCCUUCUCAAAAUCCAGCUUAAGAAUUACAAUUGGUCUCUUGGAUUGGUGAGACUGGUGCAAAUACUCAAAAGUCCAACCAAUGCAAUCCUAAAUUGUUCUGCUUUUUAUGAAACCAUACUGGUUCUUGUGAACACACUGCAUAGUCACAUCUUGGAACCUAUUAGCUGCCAUCUUGGAGAGAAACUUUAGACCCAUUCCAGUUAAAGAGAUAGGCCUAAAGUCUCCCACCUCUUCAGGUGAGAGUUUUUUGGGCGCCAGAGUGAUAUAUGAGUCAUUAAUAUUUUCCAACUUAGCAGAACCAGCAAAGAAAGCCUAAGCUAGCUCAUAAAAAUCCUUGGAGAUUAUGUGCCAACACUUCUUAAAGAACAAACCAUUAAAACCAUCACGACCUGGGGCUUUGUCCAUAGGCAUAUGCUCCACAACAUUGUCCAUUUCAUCCUUCUCAAAAGGCCUUGUUAGAUUAUAUAGACCCUCCACAGGAGUGAUGAGAGAAGGGAGGUCAAAACCCAUCACAAUUCCCCUUGAAGAACCCAUUCUGUUUUUAAAACAAUUCCAGAUAAUUCCUUCCAUUUGUGAAUGCUCAGUCACCACAGUCCCAUCAGACAAUUAUAAACUUUCAAUGGAGUUCCUUCUGUGCCUCUUAGUAGCCAUGGCAUGAAAAAACUUUGUAUUUUCACCCCCCCCACUUUAAUGUACCUAACAGUACAUCUUUUUUUCCAAUAAAGGAAUUGGAGGUGGAGCAACUUUUCCACAUGAGCCUUAACCACUCUUCUGAAAUUUGAAUCAUGUAUGUAGAGGGGCCUGUAUUCCUCAAGCUCAUCCAAAAGCAGAAUAACAUAAUUGCAUUUACAGACCAGGGUUUUCAGUUUGGAAAUAUUCUUUUGCCACCUCUUAAGACACAUUCUCAAGGACUUGAAUUUAUCAGCAAUCCUAGCAGUGAUGUGACCCUUCCAGGAGUGUUUUUGCCAAGAUGAAUCAACACAAUCCAUAAAACCAUCCAACUCUAGCCAAUAAUUCUCAAACCUAACGAGUUUGACUUGGGAAUAGAAGUUUUAAUGCUAACCACACAAGGGACAUGGUCAAAUGUCGUUUUGGCAAGAGGGAGCACUUCAGUCAUAAGAUAGUCAGAUAUCCAAUCAACAGAAGUGAAAAACCAGUCAAGCUGCUCAAGGAGAGGAAUAUCUUGCAUGUUUGACCAAGUAUAAGAUCUACCUUUGAUAGGUAAUUCCAAGAGGCCCAAGUGCCCAAUUAUAUCAUUGAAGAUGAACAUGUCAUUCAAAAUCACCACCACGCAAGUUUCUAUUAUCCAAGGAUCUCAAAAAAUUAAAAUCCCCUAGCAGCAAUCAAUUUUCUUCCACAGGAAUAUUCGGAUGAUACAGCCAAUUGACAAAAUUAUCCCUAGCUUCCCCCUGGCAAGGCCCAUAGACAACCACUAAAGUCCAUCUCUCAUUGUUUUGCAUGGAGAAAAACUCAAUCACCACAGCAAAUUGUUGGACUUCCAAUAAAGUCCCAGCAAAGAUAGAAGAAUUCUAGACUAGAAGAAUUCCACCAGAUGCACCCAAAGAAGGGGAGUAGGCAAAACUGUCAAAUCUCUUAGGACAGAAACUUUUGAUUGCUCUAGAAUCAAAGGAGGUGCAUUUAGUUUCUUGUAAGCAAGCAAUAGCACAAUGGAUUUCAUCAAUUUUUUGUCCAACAACUCUUUGCCUAUUCUCAGAAUUUAAGCCCCUGGCAUUCCAACACAAAACAUUCCAGUUUCUACAUGAAGUACUCAAAAAUAAAGAUCAUUAAAAGGUCCACAAACCAUAUGACACACCAUGCCAUAUGUCCAAAAUGCACAGAUAAAUCUAAACCAACAUUAUUACAUGGAAGUUUUCCAGAACAUAAAAACCACCAGCAGCUAAAGUAGAGAGCACAUUUAGGGGCUUGCAAAACCCAGCAUAACAUAAGCACACUAAUCAUUAGUGGCAGCAUUUUCAGCAUUAGGAGGAUCCACCAUAAGUGCAACCAUAGUUAGCAGCUUGGCAUCAAUUUCUAGCUCCUUCCCAAUUGCCUGCAGACAACUGACUGGAGUAGGUGGAGGAACAUCUGCAUGUGCAGGGUCGUCAGGCAUCUCAGCGGAGAGAGGCUUGGCCUUGGGCUUCUUUCUCUUGGGUUGUAGAGCAAGCUCAUGGAAAGUGGGCUUAAACCCAUCACGUUGGGCCGAGCUUCUGGUUCAUCUUCGAACUAAAGUUUCCACAAGAGGAGUUGGCGCCAAAGUCUUGUGGUGCCUCCUUGCUUUUGAGCGCACAAUGGGAGAGGGGAUAGCAUCAGGUGCAUCCCUCUCAGGAUCAUCAACGAACAAGGCUCGAGCAACUGGCCGGGCAAGAUCCUGCUCCUUCCAUGUCAGCAGAGGAAGAUCAUCUUGCCUGAAGGCAAAGUCCCAGUUCCUCUUUGAUAAAAUUACAGGAGAUAGUGGCUGAGGCAGCAGGGGCUUAGGCACCUCAAAAACAGCAAGUGCAUUCAGAAGAUUUUUAAAAGAACGUCUCCAAAUCAUCUCAGGGGGCAGUGGCGGCCCAUAGGGAAUAGCAACAACAGAUAACUCCACUGCUUGAACCUCAAUCACAGGGGGUUGAUAUCCACCAUAGCCUGUUCAACCACCAUAGGAUCAUCUUGAUUUUCAGGUUGGACCUCAUCAAACAUACUGACAGGAGCAGGAUGCACAUGUUGUUGCAAAUCAGAACUGGGCUGGGCAGAGAGGUCAACCACCAUUGAUUCUUGAUCUUGGAUAACAGGUUGGUGGAAAGUGUUGGUAUGCAAGGAACCCGUGGAUACGACUAGCCAUGGGUUGUGAAAGAAUGGUGGGAGAAGGAAUAUACUUUAUUUUAUGUUUGGGAACAGCCUAUGAUUUAUCUAGGAUGGAUAGUAUUGGGAAUUUUCGGUCAUUUUCGUUGAUAGGAAAAGCAUGCCACUCAAAACAAUUUUAUCUCUCAAUUUAAGCUAUGAGAUCUGGCACCUCUACAAAUCCCUACUUCCCUCUGUGAAGGGCCUAUCUAUUUACUUUAUGCAAUUUUUAUUUUUGUUGAGUCUUCAUCUUCUCUUAUAAAGCACCAACUACAGAACACUAUUACCAUAGUUGUGCAUUGGGCAUAGUUAAUAUUCGAGUGUGUUUCAUGAAUGGAUCAAUGAUUGAGCAUAAUGGGCUAGGAUAGCUUUCUGUAUUGUUGAUAUUUUGAAAGACAUAGUUGCUUGUUGAUAUGCUUGAGUAUGGAUGUCCUCAUGUCAAUUAUAGACUAUUGCUUUGAAUCAUCUAAAAGUCCAGAUGUCCAUGCUACAAAAGAAAAGAAUACAUGAUGAACAUGUUAGGCAGCAUUCCACAUCAAAAAAAUUGUUUUUAUCAUUUACCUACUUGAGGACGAUCAGGAAUUAAACUUGGGAUGCUGAUACGUCUACAACGUAUCUAUAAUUUUUUAUUGUUCCAUGCAGUUAUAUUAUCAAUCUUGGAUGUUUUAUAUUCAUUUACUAGCAACUUUAUAUCCUUUUUUGGGACUAACCUAUUGACAUAGUGCCUAGUGUCAAUUGCUGUUUUUUUGCUUGUUUUUUACUUUGUAGAAUAUCAAUACCAAACGGAGUCCAAAUGCCAUGAAACUUUUUGGAGAUUUUUUUCUGCCCAGAAGACACCCAGGGAGCCAAAUAAGUGCACGGGAGGAGGCCCAUGGGGCCCACUAGGCACCAGGGCUCGCCAGAAGGCCCAAGCGCGCCUUGGUGUGUAGUGGGCACCACGGGAAGCUUAUCCACCGACCUCCACCUCUAUAAAUACUCUAAAAUCCCAAAACCCCUAGGGGAGUCGAGAGAAUACAAUUUUAGUCACUGCAUGUUGCAAAACCACGAGAUUCAAUCUAGAGGCCUUUCCGGCACUCUGCCGGAGGGGUAAACGAACGGAGGGGUCUCCGUCAUCGUUGUUGCCCCUCCGAUGAUGCAUGAGUAGUUUACCACAGACCUACGAGUCCAUAGCUAGUAUCUAGAUGGCUUAUUAUCUCUUUUUGAUCUUCAAUACAAUGUUCUCCUCGAUGUCCUUGGAGAUCUAUUUUAUGUAAUGACUUUUGCGGUAUGUUUAUUGGGGUCUGACGAAUUGUGAGUUUAUGAUCAGUUCUAUCCAUGAAUAUUAUUUGAGUCUUUGUUUAACUCCUUUAUGCAUGAUUUCUAUAGACUCGUAUUUAUUCUCCGAAAUUUUGGUUUGGUUUUCCAAAUAGAUUGAUUUUUCUUUCCAUGGGAAGAGGUGCUUUGUGAUGGGUUCGAUCUUGCGGUGCUCAAUCUCAGUGACAGAAAGAGACAUGACAUGCAUGUAUUGUUGCUAUUGGUAUAAAAAAGAUGGGGUCUAUUUUUACAUGAAUAGAUCUUGUCUACAUCAUGUCAUCGUUCUUCUUGCAUUACUCUAUUUUUCCAUGAACUUAAUACACUAGAUGCAUGCUGGAUAGUGGUCGAUGUGUGGAGUAAUAGUAGUAGAUGUAGAAUCAUUUCGGUCUACUAAUCUUGGACGUGAUGCCUAUAUACAUGAUCAUUGCCUUGGAUAUCGUCAUGAUUAUUUGCUUUUCUAGCAAUUGCCCAACAGUAACUUGUUUACCCACCGUAUGCUAUUUUUCUCGAGAGAAGCCUCUAGUGAAAACUACGGCCCCCGGUCUAUUUUCCUAUCAUAUAAAACCAAAAUACCUUGCUGUGUUUUUCUUUUAUUUAUUUUAUUUUUGUUUUAGUUAGAUCUAUUUACCAAAUCUCAUACUAUUUAAUCUAUCUCAAUACCGAGGAGGGAUUGACAACCCCUCUUACGCGUUGGGUUGUAAGUUUUUAUUGUUUGUGUGCAGGUGUUGUUUACAUAGUGCUGCUUGGUUCUCCUACUGGAUUAAUAACCUUGGUUUCAUACGUGAGGGAAAUACUUACCUUUGUUGUGUUGCAUCAUCCUCUCCUCUUCGGGAAAUACCAACGCAAAUACAAGCAAUCAGGGGCUACUGUCAGCAUAAGUAAAACCAGGGUAGUGACAAUUCAAUGCAGUGGGCCUAAAGAACAAUUCAAUGCAAUGAAGCUCUAUGUGGUCCGAAAGACUUUGUCCUGCGCAAGUACGAAGCAUCCUGAGUAGAUGAUGCCAGCUAUGCUCUGGCUUUUACUUUCCGGGGCCUUCCUGGGAAGAGACAAGUCAACGCGCUCGGGAGGUUAAAACCUCGUUCUCAAGGCAAACAAGCUUCAACCCACGUCCAAAGGGCGUUCACUUGUGCCAGAGAGCAGGCUAAGGGUACGCAGCUCCAGCCUUCCCCCGAUGCUCUGAAGGGAUCUCUAUGUGCCAAGGCAUCCAUGGAUGUCACAAUAAGAUUCGCCUGCCGCCCAUGACGCAACAGUGGCGGUACUUCGCCGCCGCCCAACAAAUAGCGAGGAAGGCAUGUGAGUUUCCGGGGGUUAAUACGCUGCUCUGAAAGGAUGUCAUCAUCACUCGUACAAGCAUGCUAUGGGCGACCGCACCCCCGCAGUACAAGCUACACAAGUCUACUCCAAUGUUUAUUUACCCAAUCAGGAUCCUCGGUAAGGCGGCCCUCGAUGAUAUAGAUAGUGUAAAAUGAGGCCGCGCCAACGGUCGAUCUUUUGGCCUCUAAAGGAGACAAGUUGAUCUUUCCACCUUGUAACACACACAUUUGUAGCUCCAUAUCAUUGCAAUACAAAACAAAGUAGGAAUAGGGUAUUACACCAAGAAGGUGGCUCGAACCUGGGUAGCUUCUUGUGUUCAUCGAUAGUUCAUCCAUCACAUUCAUCCAUGACUUAGGAUCGCUAGACGUGAUCAGUCCCUGGCCAAACUCUCGAAUGGUUGUUGCUCACAACUCAUAUGCAGGUUCUUAGAAACCGACACUGGUGUGUAGACAAAUUACUGUUGGGCAAUUGAUAGAAAAGCGCAUAGUUAUGAUGAUACUCAUGGCAAUGAUCAUGUAUAUAGGGAUUACGGCCGCGACAAGUAGACCGACUCAUGCCUGCAUCUACUACUAUUACUCCACAAUCAACCGACUCCUGCCUGGAUCUAUGGUAUUAAGUUCAUGACGAACGGAGUAACACUUUAAGCAAGAUGACAUAAUAUAGACAGAAUAAAACCAAGCAAUAUGAUUAAACCAUGUCGUUUUACCCUUAGUAGCAACAAUACAAAUAUGUGCCUCGCUGCCCCUUCUGUCAUGAGGUGAGGACACCGCAAGAUUGAACCUACCACAAAACACCUCUCCCACUGAAGAUAAAGCAAUCUAGUUGGCCAAACCAAAAGAUAGAUCAGAGAGAAAUACAAAGCUACAAUAAUCAUGCAUAAUAAAGUUCAAAAGACUCAAUUACUUUCAAUGAAUAUUCUAAUCAUCAACCCACAAUUCAUCGGAUCCCAACAAACAUACCGCAAAAGAAGAUUCCAUUGGAUAGAACUCUGAGGAGAACAUUGUAUUGAAGAUCAAAGAGAGAGAGAAGAAGCCAUUUAGCCAAUCACUAUGGACCCGUAGGUCUAUGGUGAACUACUCACACAUCAUCGGAGGUGCAAUAAGGUUGAUGUAGAAGCCCUUCAUGAUUCCCCCUCUGGCAAAGUACUGGAAAAGGUCUCGAGAUGGGAUCGCAGAAGAACAGAAGGUUACAACGGCGAAAAAAAUUAUUCCGGGUGUCUCUCAGUUGUUUUUAGAAUUUAUGGGAAUUUAUAAGCUUGGAAUUAGGUCAAAUGGAGUUACGUGGGCCCCACAAGCUCUGGUGGUGCCCCUUGGGGGCGUGCUGUGUGAGUUUGUGGCUCUCCUGUACAUCUUCUGGCCUCCUCCUAAGUCUUUUAGGGUCCCUUCUGGUCUAGAAAAAAUCACCGUAAAGUUUCAUCUUGUUUGGACUUCGUUUGGUACUGAUUUUCUGUAAAACUAAAAACAUGCAAAAAAAGGAACUAACACUGGGCACUGAGUUAAUAGGUUAGUUCCCAAAAAUGAUAUAAAAUUGCACAUAAAGUAUCUAAGAUUGAUGAUAUAAUAGCACAAAACAAUCAAAAACUAUAGAUACGUUGGAGACGUAUCAGAUAUCACUUUUGGGGUUUAGUUCAUUGUAUGCAUUAGAGUUAACAACGGUGAGCUUUUUGUAGUCAACCUCCUUACUCGAGGGCGAGCAAGGUUUAAGCGUGGGAGGUUGAUGACUCUAUGUUUUACGCAUUUUUAGAGCUCAUUUGUUGCAUGUUCUCUUCAUAUGUCAUGUCUCAUUGAACCAAAUAGUUGUCCAUUUGUGUAUGAUUACCGGUUUUUGCACUUAUCAUUGUGAGCAUUGCACAUUUAGUACAUUAUUUGGUUUUUAUUAGGUUUCUUUGUUUUCUUGUGUCUACAGGUGUUUUAUAGCAACCUAGUACCAAGCACGAUGAAAGGACCAAGGAUGGGUUCGAUAUGGUGUCAGCCAGGAGUCAGACUUAGGCCUUUCGAAGACAAGAAAUGGAUCGACAUCAUUCAUACGAGUCCAGCGGGCCCAAGAACGUCAAAUUCCGAGUUCGUAUAAAGAAUUGGCAACCGUUUUACCAGAGAAAGUCAGACUAAAAAACAGCCUUUCAUGGGAUCGCGCGUGGUUGUUUUGGCAGUUGUUUGACGUGCAGACAGCUUUGAAAGUUGUCCUUCCAGACGAGAUUCUUCAUCUAUUUUGUCCCUGUUUGAUCCCACGAGAUUCUUGGCUCGUAAAUAAUAGAUUGGGAGUGGAUUUGGCUCAUCUAGAGCCCUUGGAUGAAGCCCAUCAAGAGAGGAGACUAGGGAGGCUCCUAUAUAUGUCAUCCUCAACCCUAGCCGCCGCCUCCAUCAUCCACACCAUCUCAUUCAUCCACAACCACCUGCAUUGCUGCUCCACACUAGAUGAGGAACAACGCCAAGGGAAGGAGGAGGAGGCUCCACCACCAUGAGCAUCGGCCUGUGGUGCCCCCAUCUCCAUCACCACCGGCUCAGCCACCAUCAUCAUCAUUACCACCACCACGGCACCGCUGCAUCACCACCAUGCCUUCUUCCUUCACCGGCUUGAUGUCGGCUUGUAACCUGUCCCUAACCUUCUUGUCUUUGAUUGAAUAGUUGUACUAGUUCUUGAGGAUAUGGUUGAACCCUUUAUGAUAUUUGUUGCGAUCCAAUAUUAACUAUUCAUGAUUCGAGUUAGUAGCCUUCGUGAAUGUUGGGAGGAGCUCGCUCACAUUUGUGCCUUGUAUCGUGAAGUAUAUUACUGUCAUUGUGAAGGGUUGUGGUGUUGGGGAAAUUCCAGGUGACAGUAAAAGGCUCGAUUCCUCGCCAUUGCAACUGAUAGGGGAAUUACGGAUAACCCUUAAAGAGGCCUUGUCCACGGGGCAAAGCUUAAUGAUCAUGAGUUAUAACCCUAUGGGGUAGACUAUGAUGGUGGCGUGCGUGGCAUGAAGUCUACCUCGAGUAGAACGUGUAAUGUAUCUGGCUCCGUCCACUUAUGCAUUUGACCAGUUACUAGAGGAUACGAUAGUUCAUAUAUGGCGGUGAUUCCGGAACCCUCGAGAACACCUUACUACUCAAGUGUCAUCCUUACUAACUUAGUGUCAUUUAAUUCAUGUUUUACUUUCUUGUAAGUAGUUUAGUUAAUUAUCCCUUUCAUCUUGUUUUCCUAGCAACUUAUCGAGUAGACUAUUUCCAAACUCCGGUUUGGGUGCGUACGUGACUGCGUGAAAGUGACAACGUAGUUGCGGGGUUUGUGGUGCCUUCCUAUUCGCUCCCUGUGGGUUCAACACUCUAUUUAUCAAAAGAAAGUGCUACCACAGCCAUGUGCACUUGCAGGUCAUCAGCUCGCCAGGUUGACACAUACCAACGAACAUAGAGCGGGCACCGAGCUGCUCCACGCCCGAUGUCCGCGGUCGGACAAAUCAUGAUGAUGCAAACUCAGAGAAAAGGAGUUGUGUCACGUUGAUGUCGAUGCAAUAAGGCAUAUGUCCCCGCGACGGAUGUCGAGGACUGCUGCUGAGCUGUUGAGCUAGAAGUAGGGUGGCUUGUGUUGAUCUUGCGAGGACCGCGUUUGCACGGACAACGAUGCNNNNNNNNNNNNNNNNNNNNNNNNNNNNNNNNNNNNNNNNNNNNNNNNNNNNNNNNNNNNNNNNNNNNNNNNNNNNNNNNNNNNNNNNNNNNNNNNNNNNNNNNNNNNNNNNNNNNNNNNNNNNNNNNNNNNNNNNNNNNNNNNNNNNNNNNNNNNNNNNNNNNNNNNNNNNNNNNNNNNNNNNNNNNNNNNNNNNNNNNNNNNNNNNNNNNNNNNNNNNNNNNNNNNNNNNNNNNNNNNNNNNNNNNNNNNNNNNNNNNNNNNNNNNNNNNNNNNNNNNNNNNNNNNNNNNNNNNNNNNNNNNNNNNNNNNNNNNNNNNNNNNNNNNNNNNNNNNAGGUCCCGCCCUGCACCACGUCUACUGUCGGCACCACGUCCGCCUCCUACACGUCUGCCGCCACUGUCGCUGCCCUUCUUUUUGAGUGGUGUCAUCUCCUUUGCCUUCUAUCUGACGUGACAGUCUUGUCGUGUCGCCAAGUUGAUCUUUCGGGCGGCGACCUUCGCCAGCUUUUCAUACGGGCCCGUGCGGCGGCGGCGGUAAAAAAGGGCGGGAAUUGGGGUGGAGAGUGGUGGGAUGGUAGAGGAGAGUGUUGAGAAAUGGCGUUUUGCCGCAAAGAAAAGGUACGGAUAGCUCCAAAGGCGUCGGCUCUGCCUCAAUUUUGGAUGGGCGGGGAGUGUCAAUGUCCUACGUGGCUGGACUCUGCAAAGCCUCCUAGUUUGCUUCUAAUUUCCGAGAUGACUUGCGGACAAAUACGAGCACCGUUGGAUGACUUGCGACGUCCGGACGCUUGUGGGAGGUUUGGGGAUCGGUGUUGGAGAUGCCCUUAUACUCUUUCCAAAGUUUAUAAGGUAAAUUAUUUUGUAACGGGUCACAAUACCCCGUAGAAACAUUUCUGGAGAAAUAUAGUCUACCAAUUAAACAGCCAAUGUAUCAUGACAAAAGAAAAUCCAUACAUAAUCCCAAUGAAAUUCUUCAGUCAUAGUAUUAUACAGUAAUUUGUCAGUUUCUUGCCCACUGGUCGACCUUGGACCCAAUUUCUUUAGUCCAACAGAGUUCGACCCCGCACUGGUCGACCUUGGACCCAAUUUCUUUAGUCCAACAGAGUUCGACCCCGCUCCAGUAGCAGCUUCUUUGUUUGUCAAUAGCAAGGGGUACAGUGAUCAUUCUUGUCAGAGACCAAAACCCCACUGCAAAAUGGCAUAACCACUAGUGACUAGUUUAAUCCCGGAGCAGAAAGGGCCUGUAAAAGCUGGAACUGGUAGCACGCUUAACCGCCAAAAAAGCGGCACAACGGUCGUAUCUUGCACCGGAAGCGAAGGGCAAAUGGGUCGUCAGUGAGAACGAAAAUUGGAACCUGGCAAAACGAGACCAAUGCCAUUUUCAGGUUUUGGGCAGUCAGACAUCCUUCUCUUCUUCUCUUCAUUUUACACGCGAUUUUAGGCAGCCGUUUUGUUAGCCGCCAAAGUUUCUUACCUCAUGCCUUGCCCACAUGGACAUAGUUCUGCCAACCGUUUAGUUAGGCGACGCAAACCUUUGUCCCAGUCAGAUACACAAUUUUGGCAGCCAUUCUGUUUCAUUCUACACAAUUUUAGCACCCGUUUAGCUAGCCGCCAUAUUUUCUGAGAUCAUGUCUACUAUCUCACAUCGUCCAGGCUCGGGUAAAUUAAGAAGCACACCAUGGGAUGCAUCAAAAGAUAAUCUAGGCUCGGCUAAAUUAACAAGCACAUCAUGGGAUACAUCGAGAUAACAGUAUAGGACAGUAUAGAUAGAUUUAUAGUGUCAUAGUACAAAAUUUGUAAGAGCAGAGUAACAGUUAGGAGACAACAUUCUCCAAGAAGCCCAACUAAACAUCUUAAUAAUAAUAAUCGAAUAACAGUAAGCAGCUGUGACACAAGAGGAAUUCAGUAGGACAAAUCUCUUGAUGUAGAAACUUAUCUCUGACCCUCAACUAGAGCUUUACCGAACUAAAAGUAUCAUUCUAUACAUCCCGCAUCACAACUUUUCCAUGGAUUUCUCAAUCUCAGCUUAACCUGUCUCUCUCAGCCAGUUUAUUAUUCACAACCCAAUUAGCCAUCAAUCCAAGCCCAAUUUGCUCCCACCUUUCAAAUUUCCUUAUCACCAUGCUCCAAUCCUUUUCGCCAUCGCCACCGCGCAAACGGAUGAUCGAAGACGACGAUGCGGAAAACAGACACCAACCAAUGCAAAAAAACAAGAAAAGGAUAUAUGCACCACGUUCUUCUUUACGCCGGUAGCUAUCAAUCAAGAACUGGUAAUCCACGAACAACAAUGACCACGUACUUUUGUGACGGCGAGCUCCGCUGGCUCUUCCACACCGGCGGCAAGGGGUGCGGCAAGGGAAAGUGAAACUGGCAAUGCUUCUGUUGUCAAAG
rnacentral:lncRNA from 1 species